rnacentral:lncRNA from 1 species
AACUUGUAAUAUCCUGAAAACGUAUUUUGAUUUAAACUGACGGGAAUUACGUUUUCAAAAAUAGAAUACGUAUUUUGAGAAUAUGCUUCGACUGCAGGUUCUAUUUGACAAAAAUGCAGGGGCUCUUUAACAAAAGAUCCAGACGAAGGGUUACGGCCUAAUCUGGAGCGUUGGAUCUAAAACCUAGGGCUGAGAUUAGAUUAGAGAGAGUGGGGGUGGCGGCUGCCGGCCGGAACAAUGCCACUGCAGUGGUGCUGUGGCCAGAAUCGGUCCGUCCUCGUCGGAGUUUUGCAAUCCAUCGACUUCGGACACCAUAACUCACAGGGAGCAAGAGGAGCUUGUUGUGAACUCACCAGAGGCAAAAGUGGGGGCAAGGAUGACCCGAGGAUGUUCGGCAUCGGGAUUUGGGGAUGACUACUCCCUGCACGAGUUCAACAUCCAUUGGAGACUAAACCAGGACGAGAGAGAGAUGGAGAAGAGGCUCGGCAUCUCCGUAGGAGCGAGGCGAAGCUCAGCAAAGGGUUCUCGAUGACCUUGGGACAACGCAGGGCUUUGACAGUGGUGGCGACGGCCUUCUUGCUUCUCCGAUGAGAUCCAAAUGUGCGUCAGGAGAGCGGCUAAGUCGACCCAUGUGUCUCGUAGAUCGAAAAGGGAGUCGCGGAUGAUUGCCAAAAGCUAUAUAAAGGUCGGUUGGGCAUGUUGGCAAACGAUCCCGUGGAAAACGGGACUUGGCUUCCGCCUUGGUGGAGUCCUGCUAGGGCUCAAGGUGGAAGAAGAGAGGGGCACUGAUGCGUAGGCCCGAUUGGUCAGUGGGAGGGGAGAGAGAGACGCACUAGGCCGGCUGCUGAUGAAGCUGGGCCAAGCUGCUGCUCGGUGCGGGCUCUCCUACUGGGUUGUGGUCUUGCUGGGCAGGCUAUGCGUGGGAGAAUGGGACCCGACCCAAGAGCAAAGAGGGGGGGGUUGGGCCACUCGGGCCAAAACAGGGAGGGAGAAGGUUUCUCCUUUUAUUUUCUCUUCCAAAUUUUCUAAGCCAUUUGAAAACCAUUUGAAAUUCAAUUUGAAUUCAUUUUGAAUUUUAGUUUAAAAACACUCAUCACAAUAAAUAAAAUGUUGUGGCAUGCAUGCUCAAACAUGUUGCUAAUCUCCUAUGGUAAGUUUUAAUUUAAUAAAAAAUAUUAUUAUUAUUUUGUUUUAUGAGCACAAAAAUACAAAAUUAAAUCAAUUUUCCUCUAUUUUCAAAGGAGCAAAAUUUAGGGUGUUACAAAUUCCGCGAAGCGUGCAUUUUGAAGUUGUUCCCCGUCCAUCACCUCGAGAAGUGCAACUCUAGUUGAAUGCUUGAGGGUUGGUGGAGAGCUCUUGGUCGUUGUAACACCCACAUUAAUAGUCAAGCUUGAGAAGGCUUGCUUAGCACAUGAAGCAAUCACUAAAAGACACGCCUUAAUAAGGACGUAGGUUGCGGACAAGAAACUAAACAUCAAUGAUGUUUUAAUAAGAUCAACUCUAAGACCCUCUUUUUAAAACCUCAUCAUGUGUUCUCGAACAUUUUCCUAUUAACGUAGUUCCACCUAACUCUCUUAAUCCCUACUUUGAAUACAAAAUAUUUUGUUGUUUCAGAAAACUACCAUAAUUUCAUAAAAUGCUUUGAUUUUCAAAACUAGAGAUGUUAGAUGUAAAAAAUUUUGUAUUUUGUAUUUUUUUUUAAAAUAAAAUAUUGCUAAAACUAUAGUCUUUUCUAACCUCUCUUACUUUAUAAAACUAAGGUUUCUUGUUUCACCAGUACUACAAUUGUUCAAAAUCACAUCGGAAUAUAAAGCCCUACGACAACCUUGAGAUCUACGUGCAGAUUGGUGGCGUACUACUCUCUCCACCUAAGAAAACAAUUCUAGGUUAAACUAAAUUAAACUCUUUUAAGUUUUUGUAUCUCUAAAUCAAUUUAUUAUUAAAAUAUAUUACAUAACUAAUCUAAUAAUACUUAAUAUGAUAUUUAGAGCUCCAAAUAUAUUUUUACAAAAAUAUAUUUCAUAACUUCUAGUAUCAUUUUUGCUCCCUCCUUGAGGCAUUUUAAAGGUCAUAAUUCUUUCCCUCCCUCCUUCAUUGUUUCCAACUAAGAACUUGAAUGGACCGCGGAAACCAACAAAUGAUGCUCCAUCUCUUUUCUUCUACAACUAAAAAUUACGAGACAGAUAUCAUCUGCCCUGCUGCCUUCGCUUCACCCCCAAGUAAGCUUUGCCCAGCCAUGUCUCAUCCAUUCCCCUAGGCUGGUCUGCUCGGCUUUGGAAAAAAAUGAAGGCAUAUUGUCUCUUAGAAGAAACAUAAACCUUUAAAUCCAUGUGAACCUAGCUUUGUCUGAUGCCCCACCCUACCCCUUGACACCGAUGCCACCAAGCCUCCUCCAUGACCGCCCCCGGUGCCUCCUAGCCCUCCCGUUGAUGUUGACGGCCUGCCUCUUCCCCUUCAUGUCAUUGACCUCCACCAUCAUGGUCAAUGACUCUAGCGUUAUCAUCCUGCCCCGCCACUGCCCCCCUGGGACCACCACCCCAUCUCAUUGCCCGCACAUGCAGCUGUGCUAGCUAUCCAGUAGAUGCAGAUGCAGCUCGCCAAGCACGUACUUGUCCUCCUGUCGCUGCAGCUUACCCCACGUGUGCUCAGUCUGCUCACGGCAGGUCGCUUCCUUUGUUAAUAGGAUCAGGGAGGGAGCACUACUACAGAAUUAACUUUAUGUGCCGGUCCCAUCACUGUUGGUUUCUUAAAAAUCGGCAGUGAUAGUGGCUGAUGGCUCAAGUGAUGGGUCCAACCGGCAGCAGUGAUAUAUGUUUUCUUGACUUAGGAUCACGCAAGAACCAACCACAAAAAAUUUAAGCACAAAAAAGAAGUGAAAAACAUGGCAUGUGUGGGCGAGGGACUAAUUACCUGUAGAUAUAAGCCCGUAAGAGAGAACGGGUCACGAUUUUCAUAGGCUUGGCUACUCCUCUGCCUAUUAACUAAGAUAUGCCUCCCAGCGAAAUGCCAACGUCAACACUGCCGGUCCUGCCAAAUGCAUGAUCGAUUCAAAGAAAAAAGUCGCUACCUGAUGCAGCAGGACGUUAACGAAUUGCGGAUAUCAUCUGAAAAAGUCAGGGAGCAGGCAACCAAAUGACUUACCUCACUGUACUGAUAGACAGAAGAUUCACAUGAUUUAACUCAAAAGUAAAAAGUGCACGGUGGCUACCCUUUACCAGUUCGUUCCCACCUUGGUACGGAAGCAUUCCACGGAUUAAUUCAUGUAUGCUAGUUCCAUAUAAAAUGGUGACCAAGUAAACAUUGGAAACAUGAGGAUCGGAGUUGACUCUUUCUAUCCUUAUGUAAGCACAAACGCACGGAUUGACCAUUUGAUCCAUUAUUGUUGUUUACACAACUAUCAUAGUCCACCGUCAGCUAACGUGAUUACUGGUGGCCAGGAAUGUCAUAAUCACCAUUACAAAAUAAAUUAUCUCUCCAUAUCAACAAUUAACAAACCACGUUGUCCAAAAGGACUCAUGGGCCUGUGUUAAAAUUUAGAUAAAUAUAUAUCCUAAUUACUAGGCAUAACCCCAUUUUAUGGUUUACUUCCUAAUAUUCUAGAAGUAAUUUUAAAGGAUAAUUGCAAUGGAUUUUUUAGUGUCAUGCGUGUGAAAAUAUUAAAAGCAAGGUUGUUGGUUUGCAAAAGUUGAUAUGUCAAUAAGAUAAUUGCGUUGUUUACUCUGCAAGUUCCAGCAGCCGGAGACUGUUUCUUCUUUGUAGGUUGAACUUGGACUUCUUCAGUCAUUAGCACGUUCCCGUCGCCACACUUGCCGCUGUGGCAGCCUAUAUAAACACACCAUCCCCAUACCCCAAGCAUCAACAGAGACACACAAAUUGAACAAGAAGCUCUAUAGCUGAGUUCGAAGAGCACAAACAUAAAAGCAAGUGGAAUACUAAUCCAGAUGGCUCCCACCACCUACUUUCUCCUUGUUUCUUUUCUGGCAUUGGUCACUUCUCAGGCCAUUGCUUCUGACCCUAGCCCGCUCCAGGACUUUUGUGUAGCCGACAUACACUCUCCAGGUAUGCAUGCACUCACUUUAAGUCAUGCUAUAUAUUCUUGUAGUAAAUUGAGGAUCGAAUAAUAAUCAUUUGUCACAACAAACAUUCUAAUUAAUGUUUAUGUGUGUCCUAAUGUUUCUGAUCUCUAUAUACCUAUUUUCCUUCGUCUUUGUAUAUGCAGUGAAGGUGAAUGGAUUUGUUUGCAAGGACCCUAUGGCCGUGAACGUGGAUGACUUUUUCAAGGCAGCAAACCUUGACAAGCCUAGGGAUACUAUGAAAAGCAAGGUCGGAUCCAAUGUCACUUUGAUCAAUGUCAUGCAGUUGCCUGGACUCAACACCCUGGGCAUCUCACUGGCUCGCAUUGACUACGCACCAUUAGGUCAGAAUCCGCCACACACCCACCCACGUGCCACAGAGAUUCUCACCGUGCUUGAGGGUACACUCUAUGUUGGAUUUGUCACCUCCAACACAGACAACGGUAACAAGCUAUUCACAAAGGUUCUCAACAAGGGUGACGUGUUUGUGUUCCCCCAAGGGCUCAUACACUUCCAAUUCAACCCAGUCCAUGACAAGCCAGCUGUCGCGAUCGCUGCACUAAGCAGCCAGAACCCUGGGGCUAUUACUAUUGCCAACGCGGUCUUUGGAUCAAAACCACCCAUCUCAGAUGAUGUCUUGGCCAAAGCUUUCCAGGUGCAAAAGGGAACAAUUGAUUGGCUCCAAGCUCAAUUCUGGGAGAACAACCACAACUAAGUAAAUUGAGACUCACUUCAUUGUUCGAAGAUAGGUUUAUACAUGUAUUUUGCAUACUCCCGUGUGUAUUCAAUUACGACAUUCUAAGCUGAUAUGAUAGAAUAAAUGGGAAGUUUAUGUAACCAAUCACUGUUUUUGUGUAUCUGCUACAAGAUAUACCACCAUGUUCUUUUUGAAUAUUUGAAUUGAAGUACGUGAGGAUCCUACAUAAUUUUCUCGAUCACGCAAAAGGUUUACGUGUCUUAUAUUAAAGUAGAGAAAACAGUUUGAUACAAUACGCCUUAGCAGUGCCCUAGAGGUCACAAGAGUUUUAUAUGGAUGCUGAAAACCUCCGUAGUGUACUCAAAGGUAUAUUGUUACAUUGGACACUGAUUAACCCAAAUUGCGGUACUGACUAGGAGGCAUAUGGCCGGAGCGCUGAUCGACAGUGGUGCCGCUUGCGCGGACCCACGUCGUGGUCCAGUGGGAACAACUCACGUAGCGCCUGCAUAUUGUUGGGGUCACCGCUGAAGAUUUAUCUAUACGCCUUCAUGGCUGAUGUGGACGGAAAGGUCAUCCGCUAGUUAGACUCAGAGCUUCACGAGAAGGUGUUCACCUUGCUUGAACGCCGGGAUAUAAGAUAUGUUCUGCGCCGCUAUCUGCUUGCUCCUUUUGAGGAGCAUGGGCGGUGCAAUGUCUGCCAUGGGUCGCAUAAUCGUGAAGCAGUUUCAGGAGUGGCGGCUGCCUCACUUUUGUAACUCACUCGGUAAAUUGGACAUGAUUUAUUGAAUAUUUUUGUAUAUGAUAUGCUGUUACAUAUAUAAACUAUAUUUCUGGAUGGUAAUAUGGAGAUGAAUAUUGCAUGGAGCCGUCGAAAUUACUAAGCUAAACUGAACUAUCAAUCGGUACAUAGGCUAAGAUUAAAUUAAUCGACACAGUAGGUCUUGGAGCCAACGACCAGUGUGUUCCACUAGCUAGAUGCAUAUAGUAACGGAAGUCAAGUGUCAUAUACUCAUAUGUGGUCACAUCCAAUUCUAACAAUGUAAAUACUAGUUUUUUCACUUUACAAAUGCAACACAAAAGUUCACACACAUGAGAAAGCAAUUGGGAGCUUCAGAUAAUCAGUUGGGAUCUUCGGAUAAUGUAAUACUCGAUUUUAAGGACAAAAUUAGAUAUGCACCAUAUGUGAGUUUUAGAAGUCAAAUCUCACAUAUAGCUACAAAUAAUGGGUAAUAUCUAGAGACAAUGCAUAAAUAUAUAACAUACUUAGUAUAAAAGAGAUAACCUUCAGUAUCAAACAGCGGAUAGACAAUCUCCAAACUUCGGGUAUUACUUCUCUCCACAGGAUCCAACUGACUGGUUGAUCACAAGCCUAACAUCUCCUGGAGUGUGGGGGAAAUUGCAAGAGUGAGCACAUAUCGUACUCAACAAGUAUAACCAGGGGUUCAUGAGGCUCAAAUAGCUGACACUGGUUUGACUGCAUUUAGCUUUUAUAUGUAGAUAACAUAUUUAAUCAUUGGAUAGCAAAUAUCAAGGUAGCAUAUUAAAUCCCAUAACCACAUGAUCAAUUGUAUACAAGAAUUAUGAAUAAUACAUAUAAACAACAUAAUAAACCAUCAUUAUCAUUAUUAAUCAUGUUCAUCAGUGUCCGUCUAUUCCGUCAGUUUUCCGGGCCGCCCGUAUCCGUGGGCACGGCUAGUAUACCAGAUUUAACACUCUGCAGAGGUUGUACAUCUUUACCCAUGAGUCAUGAUUUACCCUUUCGCCCGAGGUGAUCAGCCUCUUAGCUCACUUCCAAGGAAAGUCGGCAGGGUUCACUAUGAAGUCUUUCAAAGGUUCGUCUAACAAGUUAGGGCCGCAAGGUUUCCUUUGCGUGCAGAUAUAGAUACCCCCUUCCGAAUGGCACAAUGACGCGCAGCCUAUACACAUAAGGACAGGGGCUCGCACUAUACCCAAAACGGUUCAGCCCCUCCGCCCUUUCGGGUAACCUCUAACAAGCUAGAAAAGCUUACUCAUACUUGACUAAAGCCAGAGCCAUAUAGCCCUCAUGGUUGUACGAGUUGUCUUAGCUUUUGCCAAGCGAUAAGUCCUUAUGGAGGGUCAAGAUCAAUCCAGCAAAAGCCAGAGUUCUUUCCACCCUUUAUAUUCAAGUUGCUAGAAAGCUUAUUUUAUUGUUUAUUGUAUAUCCAAACAUUCAUGUUACAUGAUCAUGGAUUAGAUUCAAGCACUAGCAGGAACUACCAAAUGCAUAUCCAAAAUAGGUAACAAGGAAUCCAGGAUAACAAUCAUCUAUGAUUCUGCUAAGGUCAUCACGGUGGACACAUGCAUAUGAUAAAUAUUGUAUUAAUGGUAUAUAGGUAACAAGGAUGAUCCCAAGUUAUACUUGCCUUGAUCAAAGCUCUCCUGAGCCUGCUGCUGGUCUUCAAAAGAUUGACCUCGAUCACCAACGUAUCGCUCACUGUCUAUACCCGAUCAUCAAUCAACAACGCGCAUUCCAAUGGACAAUCAUACACGAAGCAAACAAGCUAUAAUUAGAACAAUACACCAAAAAGUGGUAAAACAAAUAUAAAAGUUUAUGAAAAUAUUCUACGCAGCGCUACGAUCACAGAAACGUAAUGUUCACGAAAAUCGGAAUUGAAACGUAGAAGUUAUGAAUUUUCCAAGUUUUCCUAUAGAGAAAUAAUUAACUAAAUGCUACUGCAGAAUUAAAAAGUUUCAAAACAGCAAACUAAUACUUCUAACGUGUAGAGCUCGUGAAUAAGAAUCUAACGAAAUUUGAAUGGACAAAAACGGAGCUAAAAAGAGCAUUUUAUGAGCAUUAUAAAAUCAGUGGCAAACUUGUAAAUAUCAGAAAAUGUAUUUUGAAUCAACCGACAGACUUUACGUUUUCAAAAACAGAAUACGCCUUUCGUGAAUGUGCCUUGGACUGCGGGUUCUAAUACGAGAUUCUAGAGGGUCUCUUUAAGAAAACGGCCGGGCGAAGGGGUAUCCUUCUUUUUCGGCCGUAGGAUCGCGAUGGAACGGUGCAGAUCAGAUCUGGGGAGAGAGGGAGGGAGCUCCGGCCAGCUACAGUGGCCAGCGCGGUGGCGCCAUUGCCGGAGGGCAGAACUCCUCGCCGGAGUUCGUCGUUUUCGCGAUUCAGUGCAUGAUUCAACAAACGAAAAGAAUGGAAAGGCGUAGAAGCUUGCUGCGAACUCACCGAGACCAAAAUCAAGGCUCGGGAAAAGCUUGAAGGCGUCCGACGGCUUGAGAUGGCGGACCGGGCACUCCUGCAAGGUACGGCAUCGAUGAGGGAGCUGUAGGGCGCGAUAGAGAUUAAAAGGGGAGGCUCAGAACCCUUGUAGGAGCAAUACGAAGCUCGGCGUCACGAUUUAGGCGGCUCUAGGGCAGCACCGAGGAAGAACGAUGGUGGCGGCAAUCUUUGGCUUGCGGCGAGAUCCAACCAGCGGCGAUAGAAGUUAUCUAGGGAUUCCCCAAUGUUGUGGAUGGAAAGUGGAGUGCGCGGGGAGACCACAAAACUUUAUAGGGCUUGAUUUGGGAAUCCUAGCACCAAAUCCCGGAUUUACAGGAUGGGUUUCCAUCUCGGUGAGAGAAGGAGAGACCGUCUCGGCCACGACCUGAGGAAGAAGAAAGGUAAGUCGCAGACGUGUGGGCUCCAGAUGGCAGCGAGAGAAAGAAAGGGAGAAAGGGGCGGGGCGCGCUGCUGGGCCGGAGAAAGAAGUGGGCCGGGGCGGUUAGCAGGGUCGCGGGGGAGGAACGGGGGCUGGGCCGAUGGGGAGUUGGGCUGGGCGCUGGAUGGGGUCUUUUCCCCUUUCUUUUUUUUCUAUUUUAAUUUUCAAAGCCUUUUCCAAAUAGAAUUUUUAGAGCAACCAAAAUCCACCCCAAAGCAAUCAACACAAUAAUAAGAUAUGCUUCAGCAUGUAUGCAUAAACAAGUUUCUAACUCUAUGUUGAAUUUUAAAUUUCAAUAAAAUUUAUUUCUUCACUAAUUUAAAUGCUCACAGAAAUAUUUGAAUAAAUCAAUUUAAAUCUAUUAAUUUGAAAGCAAAUUUUGGGUGUUACAAACUCUACCCCCUUAAAAGAAUCUCGUCCUCGAGAAUGAAUAGUACUUACUCAAACAAUUGUGGAUAUGAUUUCCUCAGAUCAUCUUCUCUCUCCCAAGUUGCCUGUGCUUCUAAAUACCGAUUCCAUUGUACUUUGCACAUUCUAAUGAUCCAACUCCUGGUAACUCUCUCUUUAUUUGUCUCUUAAGUUCUUCUAAUGUAACACCCAAAAAUUCUAUUUCUUUUAAAUAGAUGAAAUGAAUUUAAAUGAAUUUAUUUUGUGAGCAUUUUCAAUGUAGGAAAAUAAAUAAAUUUGGAGAAAUUAAAAUUUAAUAUAAGCCUAGAGAAAACUUUAUGUUGCAUUCAUGCUGGGGCAUUCUUUUAUGUGAUGAGUGUUUUGAAAAUCAAAUUGAUUAAAAAUCCAUUUGGGAAAUGCAUUGAAAAUUUGUUUGAGAAAAAGAAAAGGAAAAGGAAUUUCUUUCUCCCCCUUUCUCUCCAUUUCGGCCUCUCGGCCCAAAACCCGCCCCGCGCGCGCCCUCUCCUUCCUGGGCCGCGGCCCAGCCGCCCCCCUCUGCCUUCCCCUCUCUCUCCCCGCUGACAGGCCGGGCCCGCCUGUCAGCUCCUCCUUCCCCAAACCAACGCCCCGCUCCUUCCUCUCUCUCUCGGUUUGGAAACCGCAAGGCCGAAGCCCGCGCCCACGAUCUUCCCCUCUUCCCCCACGUUCGGCUUGAAAAGGAUAGCGCCCGCGCCGAGCUUGAACCGCACCCCGCGCCCCAUUCGUUUCCCUGCUCACCUUCUCGCCUGGGAGCACCGAGCGCCGCCGAGUUCGCCGCCGCGGUGGAAGAUUCGAUUGGCCAAGUUUUCUUCCCCGUAAUCCCCUUGCCGAGCUCCUUUUUAGUCCCGCGAAGUCGCCUAGAUUCUUCUUCUUAUUUUUCCCGCCUCGUUUUUCUCUCUAACUGCCGCUGUGUGUGCUCAGGAGAAUCCUCGCCGCCGUUUCGCGUGGUCAGCCGAAGUCGAUCCGUCCUAGUCCUUGUUCCCGGCGUCUUCGGGUUCGCGGUGAGCUCCUCUGGCCUCCCGUGCUCUUGGAUCGAAGUUUUGUCCACCUAAGGACGUUUUCUCCUUCUUCGGCGAUCUCCCGGCCAUGGCGCCGUCGCGGAGGCCUUGCUCCGGCCGGCUGGCCGGCGAGCCCUUCCCUCUCUCCCCCCCAGAUUAAAUCCGAGCCGUAGAUCUCUAAUCUGACGGCCCAGUGAGCCCCGUACCCCUUCGCGGGUCAGUUUUGCUAAAGAGUCCCCCUGGGAUUUAGUAUUUGAGCCGCAGUCCUUAGCGCAAUUCGUAAACUACGCUUUGUCUUUUGGAAAGCGUAUUUUCCGUCGGUUAGGUCAAAAUACGCUUUCGGGAAAUUACAGAAUUGCCACUGAACUUGUUUUGGCCAUAAAAUAUUCGUUAUAGCUCCGAAUUGACCCGUUCAAAUUGCGUUAGGUUCGUAAUUAAAUUCUCUACAUGAUAGUACCACUGUUUCUGUAGUUUAGAACUUUUUAUUUUCAGGGUUAGGUUUAAUUAAUUAAUUGCCUAUAGGAAAUCGCCGAUAAGUCGUAACUUGGUCGUUUUAGCUCCGAAUUUCGUGAUCUUCGUAUCUAUGUGAUCGUAGCGAAACGUUGGUUCUGUUUUUAAAUAUUUUAUUUCAUUUUUGAUCUGUUGGUGUACUGUUCUAAUUAAAUGAUUGUUUGCUUGUAUGAAUGAACCUGGAUGCGUGUUGUUGUGUGGUACCGAUCGAGCGCAGACGGUGACGUGUCCGUGGGUGAUCCAUUUCACUUCGAGGAGCAGCAGGACCAGCAGCAGUUCCCCUUCACCAAAGGCAAGUAUAACAUGGGUUUCCCUUGUACACCUAUUCACUUAAUUAAUUACGCAUUUGCAUGUGUCUAAUUUUGAUAACCCUAAGGACAUCCUAGCUACCAGACUAAACACUUAUGACACCUAUGGGAAGAAUGCAUGUGGGUAGCUUUGCUAGUGCUCUAAUUAAUUGAGACUUUAUUAUCGCUCUGACUUUAAUAAAUAUGAUGAUAAAUAUUGGGAAAAAGGGCUAUGGUGCAAUUGACUUCGGUUGGGUUGACCUAGACCCUCCGUAAGGACUUCUCUGUAAGCGACAAUCCGGGACUUACAGUGCAACCGUGAUGGUUAUAUGUCUCUAACUUUAGCUCAGUAAUAGGAUCUCAUCUAGCUGGUUAGAGGUUACCCGAAAGGACGCAAGAGGGGCUUGCCACUUUGGGUAUAGAACUGCUUCUGUUCCUAUGUGUAUAGUCGUGAUGGAAAUGUACCAUAAGAAAGGGGGUUCUGUAUAUCUGCCUGCCGAGGAAACCUCGCGGCCCUAACUGGUUAGACGUGGCCUAUGGAAGGCUUCAUAGUGUUCCCUGCCCGCUCACCUUGGCAGUGUUAGUGGGUCUUGCAAACCCCGGGCAUAUGGGUAACACGACUUACGGGAAAAGUGCACACCUCUGCGCAGAGUUUGAUCAAAUUGGUAUACUAGCCGUGCUCUCGGACAUGAGCGGCCUUGGACCCUUACGGAAUAGUUGGGUGUGGAUGGUUAUGGGAAAUAACUAAUGAAACGCUGACGCAUUGAUCGUGAUGAUUAAUGUGGUUUAACCGUGAUGGUGAUGGUGUUAGCCGUGAAGGUUAACGGUGUUAUUAUCAUGUACUCAUUUGGGCUAAUUGGGAGCUUAAGCAUAAUUGAUGAUUAAAUAGGAUUAAAACAUUGAUCAAUUAAAAUGCUAACUGCAGUAGCCAGUGUCUGACCUUUUUGAGCCGCAUAAAUUCCUAUGUUAUGCUUGCGGAGUACGAGAUGUACUCACGCUUGUCUUUUUAUUUCUUUUGGACAAAAAUCCCGGAUGGGUAACAGAUGACAGCUAUUACGAGGAAUUUCCGGAGGACUUCUAGGUUGGCGAUCCCCCAGUCGGUCGUCCCUGUGUUGCAGUUAUCUUACCAUAGCUAGUUAUGAGUUUAUUUUCCGUUUGUCGCAGACUUUGAUAUAUUUGUGUUGUAAUAACGUUUUGUAAGACACUUGUGAUGAUACAUUUGUAAUUUGUCGACUUGUGUGUGCGACUAUUCCUGGGGCGCACAUGCGAUUAUUGUACUCAAAUUUAUCCUUAAAUUUGGGUGUGACAAAUUGGUAUCAAAGCAAGGCUGACUGUAGGACGCAAACCUUGGUAGAAACAGUCGAUUUUAGGGUUCUUAUUUUCGCUUUAUUUAUUUCACUGCUCACUUUACUUUCUUGUUAUUUUAUUAAAAGUUUAUAUUCUUACCCAAUGUUCUAUUUAUGUAAACAUAUUGAUUCUAAUUCUUAAAACAAAAUUUAUAGAUGCCUCGUCGCAGCGCAGCCGCGUAUCGCGCCCUCUUCGUCGCCGCCCGUGCUCCACCAGUUGCACCAGCACCAGCUCCAGUACCUGCACCUGUGCCAGCACCAGUACCCGUACCAGAGCCCGAGGUCGUCGCCUCUGGUGGCGGCGAGGAGGAGGAGCCUAUGGACACGGGGUCCCCUACGCCUACACCUUCAGCUCCUACACCAGUGGCGGUACCGAUUCCGCAGGCUGCCGCUCCAGUACCACCUGCACCUGCACCACCUUCGCCUGCACCCCACGCGUCGACGGGUUCAGCACCGACGCCUCAGUACCCUCAGGUUGUUCCGGAGAUGGGAUGGACCUCGAGGAACAAGUUCAUGGAGGCGGACGAGGACGCUCGCUACCACACUCUGCUCACGGGUGUGUUGGCGAGCUAUUACCCGGAGUUUGCCACCACCGUCCGCUACCUUUGCUCGGAGCACAAGCACCCGUUGGAGAACACCUACUGGAAGGCCGAGGUGAUCAUCACAGCUCGGAACAACGUCGACAACUCAGACGAGGUGGAGUCCAUCCACGAGAGCAGGGUUAGACGUGCUUCCGCCUACGAGAGCAUGGAGGAUGCAGCUUAGGCCGCGUACUUUCACUACCAUGGCCGCCGUUUUGAGGCCAUGCAGGAGGACAGGUACCGGUUCCUUCCCCGCAACGACCCAGAUGGAAAGACAUGGCAUGUCCUGGCACCUCCUGCCGGCGACCCUACCCUGGAUACGACUGUGAGACACGUCAGUGCCAUUCAAGAGAUGAAUGGGGCACUGAGACAGGAGCUGCGUGUUGCGCAGCAGGCGGAGAAGCGCCUCCAGCGUCAGGUGGAUGAGCUGCGUGGUCAGCUUGGACAGCCACCCAUUUACAAGAAGAAGCCCCGCAAGUUCGUUCUCCAAGAUAGAGCUCCUUAGAUUUCCCAGUACUUUCUAGAUUGACGCUAGCACGAGUAUUUCGGUAAUGUGUGGCAUGUGAACUUUAGUGAGUUGCUGUUUGUGUUGAUGAACAUUUAUGAUUUGGAGUUUUGUUUGAUUGUGGAAACAUGUGGGUCUGUCCGCAUGUUUCUAAACCUUAAUUCUAGAAGUAAAUGUUGUUUAAAUUCGAGGUUGGGUUACUUUAUCUGUCUCAGUCAUGUUGUUUCUGGAGCGGUCUGGGAUUUUUAUUCAGUAUCUCAUUAUCGGUUCAGUCAAAAAUUACGAAAUUUUUAUGGUGAAAACUAGACUGGUAUAUCUUUCAUCUCCAACUGGAAUCACCUCAUUAUCUGUUCGGAUCUAUGAGAUAUGUCCGUUUUAAUCUGCUGUACCUGCGCAGACUGAGAACCAGAGCAGAACCUGAUGAAUCACAAUUUUGAUUAUGUUACUUUUGGAAUCAGUAAAUGUGGUCUGAAUAAAGUUUGUAGAGAAUUUCCUAACCUUUCCAACGAUGUAUACCAUGUUCCUUUUGAGUCUAUAGAUUCUGAGAUAAGCACAGAUUACUGACCUGCUGAGUUUGAAACUUGUCCAGAAAACUGCUAGACUUGUUUUUAUUCAUUAUAAGCGAUGAAUAAUUAUUUUUUUUGGAAGAUCACUAAAAGCCGUGAAUCUUUGUUGGAAGCAGAUGGACGCCGAACGUGCAGCCGCUGGUCGUGGACGUGGCCGUGGCCGUGGUCGUGGCCGUGGACGUGGUGUACCUGAGAAUCCACCACCACCACCGCCGCCGAUGACUAUCGAGCAGCUCAUGGGUAUGCAAGCUAAUCUGAUGCAAGCCAUGAUGAACCGUAUGAACAAUGAACCAGUAGCAGCACCACCGCCGGUUCAAGUCCGUGACAAGCGAGGGGAGUUCUUGAAAGGACGUCCUCCGGUGUUCACCCAUGCCUCUGAUCCACUGGAGGCAGACGACUGGUUAAAAGCAGUCGAGAAGCAGCUGAACAUAGCCUAAUGCAGCGACCUAGAGAAAGUGUUGUACGCAUCAGGCCAGCUGCAAGGACCUGCACAGGAGUGGUGGGAGUCCUAUCAAUAUGGACGCCCGAACAACGCUCCGCCAGUCACCUGGAAGGAGUUUACGGAAGGGUUCAGGUCCCAUCAUAUUCCGGAGGGCCUGAUAGAACUGAAAGCGGAAGAGUUCAGAUCUCUCAAGCAGGGAUCAAUGUCAGUCAGUGAGUAUCGUGACAAGUUUGCUCAACUAUCACGAUAUGCUCCAUAUGAGGUGGCCAGGGACUCUGACAAGCAACGUCUUUUCCUGAAGGGUCUGUAUGAUGGACUGCAGCUGCAGCUGAUGAGCAAUACCUACCCUUGUUUUCAAGAAUUGGUGAACCGCGCUAUUGUCAUCGACAACAAGCGCAAGGAGAUGGAUGCAAAGAAGAGAAAGCUCCAGGGGCAGCAGUCGGGCAGCAACACUCGCCCACGUGCGUACCCUCAGUAGGGAUUCCCUCAGCGCAGUCAAGGACCACAGAAUCAGUGGAACCGUGGUCAGUUUCCUCAGCGUCCCCAGUACUACCAGCAGCACAAUCACCAAAACCAAUAACGUCCCCAGCAGCAGUAUGGCAACCAGAAUCAGCAACGCCCCCAGCAUCAGGUCAGCAAUCAGGCACCACGCCAAGGAGUGCCCAAUAAUGCUCCUGGCAAGAGUGCAGCACCCAGCGGCAAUCCCAAUGCCUGUUACCGCUGCGGAGAGGUGGGACACUAUGCCUACCAGUGCCCCAAGAAGCAGAAUCCACCAGCCCAGCAAAAUCAGAACAACAAUCAGAGGCCUGCUCGACCUCCGUUCUCUGGGAAAGUGAACCAUGUGUCCACUGACACAGCUCAGGAAGCACCUGAGGUUAUGAUGGGUACGUUCAACAUCAACUCCAUCCCCGCUACAGUACUGUUUGAUUCUGGUGCUUCACAUUCUUUUAUCUCCCAAGCUUUUGUUAGAGUGCAUAGCAUCCCACUUUGUGCACUGAAAAAUUCUAUGCUAGUAAAUUCACCGGGAGGCACCAUGCCAGCUAAUUACUGGAGCCCCUCCACUAGUAUAUCUCUAAGGGGGGUAGAUUUCAAGGUGAAACCUAUUGUGCUAAGAACCAUGGGAAUUGACCUCAUACUUGGAAUGGAUUGGAUGAAGCAGCAUAGGGCAGUAAUUCAUUGUCAGGAGAAAUCUGUGGUGGUGACAUCACCAGAAGGGGAUAGAAUAAGUGUGGAUGUGAUAGUGCAGUCUCAGCCGACUGCUACAGUGAAUCAGUUGAGUGGUGGUAAUCAAGAAGACCAAGUGGUGGACGAGUUCCCCGAUGUGUUCCCGGACGAGUUGCCAGGUAUGCCACCAGACCGAGACAUUGAAUUUCUUAUUGAGCUUUUACCUCGAACUGCACCUAUAGCAAAAAGACCAUAUAGAAUGGGGGUAAAUGAAUUAGAGGAACUUAAGAAGCAGCUUAAGGAAAUGCAAGAAAAAGGGUUUAUUCGUCCUAGUUCUUCACCAUGGGGUGCACCCGUAAUCUUUGUUGAUAAGAAAGAUGGCACUAGGAGGAUGUGUGUGGAUUAUCGGUCAUUAAAUGAGGUCACUAUUAAAAACAAGUACCCACUGCCUAGAAUAGAUGACUUAUUUGACCAACUGAAAGGAGCAUGUGUGUUCUCCAAAAUUGACCUCCGAUCUGGCUAUCACCAGUUGAAAAUCCGUGCAACUGACAUACCUAAGACAGCUUUUACCACAAGGUAUGGCUUGUAUGAGUAUACAGUCAUGUCAUUUGGGCUGACCAAUGCACCUGCAUACUUCAUGUAUAUGAUGAACAAGGUGUUCAUGGAGUAUUUGGAUAAGUUCGUGGUAGUAUUCAUUGAUGAUAUAUUAAUCUUCUCCAAAACCAAAGAAGAACAUGCUGAACACUUGAGGCUGGUCUUGCAAAAGCUUAGAGAGAAUAAAUUGUAUGCCAAGAAAAGCAAGUGCGAGUUUUGGUUGGAUGAGGUCUCAUUUUUGGGACAUGUGGUCUCUAACGGUGGAAUAGCCGUACACCCCAGCAAAGUGCGGGAUGUGCUAAAUUGGAAGCCUCCAACUAAUACUAGUGAGAUCCGUAGCUUUCUGGGACUAGCUGGUUAUUAUAGGAGAUUUAUUAAAGGAUUCUCCAAGUUAGCAAAGCCUAUGACAGCCCUACUAGAGAAGAGUGCCAAAUUUAUUUGGUCAGAUAAGUGCCAAGAAAAUUUUGAGGAGCUAAAGAAAAGGUUGACCACAGCCCCAGUGUUGAUCUUACCAGAUCUGAGUAAAACCUUCUCUAUUUAUUGCGAUGCAUCUCGCCUAGGCCUUGGAUGUGUGCUUAUGCAAGAAGGAAGAGUAGUGGCGUACGCAUCCAGGCAGUUGAGAAAACAUGAGCUGAACUAUCCUACUCAUGAUUUGGAGCUAGCUGCCGUGGUUCACGCUCUAAAGAUUUGGAGGCAUUAUCUAAUUGGACACAAGUGUGAUAUUUAUACGGAUCACAAAAGUCUAAAGUAUAUUUUCACACAGUCAGACCUGAACCUAAGGCAACGCCGCUAGCUAGAAUUAAUAAAGGAUUAUGACCUGGAAGUGCAUUACCAUCCCGGGAAGGCAAACGUUGUUGCCGAUGCACUUAGCCGAAAGAGCUAUGCCAAUGGGCUGCAAUUGACCUUCAUUCCCACAGAGUUGCUAGCUGAAAUAGAGCAUCUCAAUUUGGGUUUAGUGAACAACACUGUUGAAUUGGAGUUGGAGCCCACCUUAGAGCAAGAAAUCCGCAAAGGUCAGUUGGAAGAUGAGAAACUAAAGGAAAUUUCAGAGAAUGUAGUGCUUGGAAAAGCACCGGGUUUCAAGUUAGAUGAAAAUGGUACACUAUGGUUUGGGAAGAGAAUAUGUGUGCCAGAAGUGAAAUCCAUCCGAGAUGCAAUCCUGCGUGAAGCACAUGACUCUGCAUAUUCAAUUCACCCCGGAAGCACCAAGAUGUAUCUAGAUCUUAAAGAAAAAUACUGGUGGUAUGGAUUAAAGAGAGAUGUGGCAGAGUAUGUAGCGUUAUGUGAUACUUGUCAGAGGGUGAAAGCCGAGCACCAAAGACCUGUAGGGUUCUUGCAACCAAUGCAAGUGCCUGAAUGGAAAUGGGAAGAAGUAGGUAUGGAUUUCAUCACUGGGUUGCCCCGCACUCAACUUGGGUAUGAUUCAAUUUGGGUAAUAGUGGAUCGACUCACUAAAGUUGCUCACUUUUUGCCCGUUAAGACCAACUAUGAUGGUGCAAAGCUGGCAAAGUUAUAUAUGGAUAGAAUCGUGAGUCUGCACGGAGUUCCGAAGAAGAUCGUGUCUGAUCGGGGUACACAGUUCACAUCUCAGUUUUGGCAUAAAGUACAUGAAUCAUUGGGAACAAAGUUGAACUUUAGUUCCGCGUAUCAUCCCCAAACCGAUGGGCAGACUGAAAGAGUAAAUCAGAUUCUAGAAGACAUGUUGAGAGCAUGUGCGUUACAGUAUGGUACCAGCUGGGACACUAGUUUACCAUAUGCUGAAUUCUCAUAUAAUAAUAGUUACCAGAAAAGUCUCGAUAUGGCACCGUUCGAAGCAUUGUAUGGGCGGAAAUGUAGAACACCUCUGUUUUGGAAUCAGACUGGUGAGAGUCAAGUAUUUGGACCUGAUGUUCUUAGAGAUGCAGAGGAAAAAGUGCGGAAAAUACGGGACAACUUGAGAGUAGCUCAGUCUCGACAAAAGAGUUAUGCGGAAACUAGAAGAAGAGAAUUGGCAUUCGAGAUAGGCGACUAUGUGUAUUUGAAGGUGUCACCUAUGAGAAGUGUCAGGAGGUUUAAUAAGAAGGGAAAAUUGGCACCGAGGUACGUUGGACCGUUCAGAAUUCUUAGGAGACGUGGAGAAGUGGCCUAUCAGUUAGAGUUGCCUGCGAGUAUGUCGGGUAUUCACGAUGUGUUCCAUGUGUCACAACUGAAGAAAUGUUUGCGAGUGCCUGAGGAACAAAUUCCAUUGGAGGAACUCACAGUUGAAGGAGAUCUAACUUAUGAGAAAUAUCCAAUCAAGAUCUUAGAAACAGCAGAAAGAGUCACCCGGAGUCGGGUUAUAAAGAUGUGCAAAGUGCAGUGGCACCGAUAUAAAGAAGAAGAAGCCACUUGGGAAAGAGAAGAUGAGCUGAGACAGUCUUAUCCAUAUCUCUUUGAGUAAGCAUCGUCUCAAUCUCGAGGACAAGAUUAUUUUUAAGGGGGGUAGAAUUGUAACACCCAAAAAUUCUGUUUCUUUUAAAUAGAUGAAAUGAAUUUAAAUGAAUUUAUUUUGUGAGCAUUUUCAAUGUAGGAAAAUAAAUAAAUUUGGAGAAAUUAAAAUUUAAUAUAAGCCUAGAGAAAACUUUAUGUUGCAUUCAUGCUGGGGCAUUCUUUUAUGUGAUGAGUGUUUUGAAAAUCAAAUUGAUUACAAAUCCAUUUGGGAAAUGCAUUGAAAAUUUGUUUGAGAAAAAGAAAAGGAAAAGGAAUUUCUUUCUCCCCCUUUCUCUCCAUUUCGGCCUCUCGGCCCAAAACCCCCCCGCGCGCGCCCUCUCCUUCCUGGGCCGCGGCCCAGCCGCCCCCCUCUCCCUUCCCCUCUCUCUCCCCGCUGACAGGCCGGGCCCGCCUGUCAGCUCCUCCUUCCCCAAACCAACGCCCCGCUCCUUCCUCUCUCUCUCGGUUUGGAAACCGCAAGGCCGAAGCCCGCGCCCACGAUCUUCCCCUCUUCCCCCGCGUUCGGCUUGAAAAGGAUAGCGCCCGCGCCGAGCUUGAACCGCACCCCGCGCCCCAUUCGUUUCCCUGCUCACCUUCUCGCCUGGGAGCACCGAGCGCCACCGAGUUCGCCGCCGCGGUGGAAGAUUCGAUUGGCCAAGUUUUCUUCCCCGUAAUCCCCUUGCCGAGCUCCUUUUUAGUCCCGCGAAGUCGCCUAGAUUCUUCUUCUUAUUUUUCCCACCUCGGUUUUCUCUCUAGCUGCCGCUGUGUGUGCUCAGGAGAAUCCUCGCCGCCGUUUCGCGUGGUCAGCCGAAGUCGAUCCGUCCUAGUCCUUGUUCCUGGCGUCUUCGGGUUCGCGGUGAGCUCCUCUGGCCUCCCGUGCUCUUGGAUCGAAGUUUUGUCCACCAAAGGACGUUUUCUCCUUCUUCGGCGAUCUCCCGGCCAUGGCGCCGCCGCGGAGGCCUUGCUCCGGCCGGCCAGCCGGCGAGCCCUUCCCUCUCUCCCCUCCAGAUUAAAUCCGAGCCGUAGAUCUCUAAUCUGACGGCCCAGUGAGCCCCGUACCCCUUCGCGGGUCAGUUUUGCUAAAGAGUCCCCCUGGGAUUUAGUAUUUGAGCCACAGUCCUUAGCGCAAUUCGUAAACUACGCUUUGUCUUUUUGGAAAGCGUAUUUUCCGUCGGUUAGGUCAAAAUACGCUUUCGGGAAAUUACAGAAUUGCCACUGAACUUGUUUUGGCCAUAAAAUAUUCGUUAUAGCUCCGAAUUGACCCGUUCAAAUUGCGUUAGGUUCGUAAUUAAAUUAUCUACAUGAUAAUACCACUGUUUUUGUAGUUUGCAACUUUUUAUUUUCAGGGUUAGGUUUAAUUAAUUAAUUGCCUAUAGGAAAUCGCCGAUAAGUCGUAACUUGGUCGUUUUAGCUCCGAAUUUCGUGAUCUUCGUAUCUAUGUGAUCGUAGCGAAACGUAGGUUCUGUUUUUAAAUAUUUUAUUUCAUUUUUGAUCUGUUGGUGUACUGUUCUAAUUAAAUGAUUGUUUGCUUGUAUGAAUGAACCUGGAUGCGUGUUGUUGUGUGGUACCGAUCGAGCGCAGACGGUGACGUGUCCGUGGGUGAUCCAUUUCACUUCGAGGAGCAGCAGGACCAGCAGCAGUUCCCCUUCACCGAAGGCAAGUAUAACAUGGGUUUCCCUUGUACACCUAUUCACUUAAUUAAUUACGCAUUUGCAUGUGUCUAAUUUUGAUAACCCUAAGGACAUCCUAGCUACCUGACUAAACACUUAUGACACCUAUGGGAAGAAUGCAUGUGGGUAGCUUUGCUAGUGCUCUAAUUAAUUGAGACUUUAUUAUCACUCUGACUUUAAUAAAUAUGAUGAUAAAUAUUGGGAAAAAGGGCUAUGGUGCAAUUGACUUCGGUCGGGUUGACCUAGACCCUCCGUAAGGACUUCUCUGUAAGCGACAAUCUGGGACUUACAGUGCAACCGUGGUGGUUAUAUGGCUCUAACUUUAGCUCAGUAAUAGGAUCUCAUCUAGCUGGUUAGAGGUUACCCGAAAGGGCGCAAGAGGGGCUUGCCACUUUGGGUAUAGAACUGCUUCUGUUCCUAUGUGUAUAGCCGUGAUGGAAAUGUGCCAUAAGAAAGGGGGGUUCUCUAUAUCUGCCUGCCGAGGAAACCUCGCGGCCCUAACUGGUUAGACGUGGCCUAUGGAAGGCUUCAUAGUGUUCCCUGCCCGCUCACCUUGGCAGUGUUAGUGGGUCUUGCAAACCCCGGGCAUAUGGGUAACACGACUUACGGGAAAAGUGCACACCUCUGCGCAGAGUUUGAUCAAAUUGGUAUACUAGCCGUGCUCUCGAACAUGAGCGGCCUUGGACCCUUACGGAAUAGUCGGGUGUGGAUGGUUAUGGGAAAUAACUAAUGAAACGCUGACGCAUUGAUCGUGAUGAUUAAUGUGGUUUAACCGUGAUGGUGAUGGUGUUAGCCGUGAAGGUUAACGGUGUUAUUAUCAUGUACUCAUUUGGGCUAAUUGGAAGCUUAAGCAUAAUUGAUGAUUAAAUAGAAUUAAAACAUUGACCAAUUAAAAUGCUAACUACAGUAGCCAGUGUCUAACCUUUUUGAGCUGCAUAAAUUCCUAUGUUAUGCUUGCGGAGUACGAGAUGUACUCACGCUUGUCUUUUUAUUUCUUUUGGACAAAAAUCCCGGAUGGGUAACAGAUGACAGCUAUUACGAGGAAUUUCCGGAGGACUUCUAGGUUGGCGAUCCCCCAGUCGGUCGUCCCUGUGUUGGAGUUAUCUUACCAUAGCUAGUUAUGAGUUUAUUUUCCGUUUGUCGCAGACUUUGAUAUAUUUGUGUUGUAAUAACGUUUUGUAAGACACUUGUGAUGAUACAUUUGUAAUUUGUCGACUUGUGUGCGCGACUAUUCCUGGGGCGCACAUGAGAUUAUUGUACUCAAAUUUAUCCUUAAAUUUGGGUGUGACAUCUAACUCAUUUAUCCCCAUUCCGUGAGGCCUUUUAGCUAUAGGUGCAGUAUCAGGUGGUAAUUUGAUAAUAUUUAAUUCAAUGUCUCCGGUCAAGAAGCAUACCUGGCAACUUAUCCGAAAAAAAAUCAUCUGGAAAUUUAUUCACAACUACUACUUUCUCUUCACACUCCAUCUCCGUAGUAUAUUUCUUCAUCCAAUCCAAACCCAAGAUUAUAUCUAUGCUUGGAGUUCUCAUAAGCAUAGGACCGACAGGGAAAUCUACCCCCCUUAAAAUGAGAUUUAUUGGGGGAUACUAGAGACUACUUCUCCUAUCGUUUUUAGAUGCUACACAUCAUAGUCUUUUAAAUUUCUUGUACCAAGUCUCUUAAUCCAAGGUUGGUUUCAACACUAAGUUCCAUCUAUUGGUACCUUUAUCGCCAAUAAGUUGUUUCACUCUCAUCUUGCAUAUGGAACUGAAGCGCCCCUGGUAAACCAGGAACUCAAAUGUGAUACAAUACUAGUCCCAGGAGGCUAGUAACACAUUUAUUACAUCAGAUAAGUUUCAGCGCAGUAGUCUUGGAAAGCGUGGACAAGGAAGGCACGCUAUAAUAAUAAGACACCAAAAUACAACACAGGUCCAAAGGACCCAGAAACAAACGAUAUCGCCAUCGAACAUCUGACGAGUCCCAAUGCCACAGGCUUAGUUGGGUGCAGACACGACCUUACUCGAACGCCACUUCGGGAUCGAAGUCCGGAUCUUCCUCUGUUUAAUAAAGCAAGGGUGAGUACAAAGUACUCAGCAAAUCCAACCUUACCCUACGGAAGGGGAUAACAGUAUAUAUGCAUAUGGAUAAAUCAAGGAUGAGGCUUAGUUUUAUUUGCAUAAAGCUAUCUUUUUACACAUGCAAGGUUUCAUUUCACAAAUACUGUUGUAAAAGACCUCUUUUUCCACAUAUGAUAGUAUUUCUGAAAAUGGGGGUUUGAUCACAAUUUUAAGUGUUGUUGAACCCUUGUUCCCACAACACAAUGGCAGUCAACCAUUUAUUUCCAAAAUCACACUCACUCUCAUAUUUUCACUCAUCCCAUCCCAUCUAGUUGUUGAAACCAAACCAUAACCCGUCCGAGACCGCGGACACGGCUAUCCAGAUAGAUUUACACUCUGCAGAGGUUGUACACUUUUCCCACAAGUAGGAUACCAUAACUUACACCAUCGUGCAAGCACAGAUCCAUCAAAGUCAUUACCCUCCAUAGCUAAGUAAUGGCGCUCACCACGGGAACACUAUGGCCACAUCUCAUGAUACCAUAAUAAUUCACAAAGCUCUUUUCAUAUAUUUCCACAAUUUCACAUACAUCACUUAGUGUCCCGUUGCACACCUGCCUCCAGGUGAUUGCCAUACUAACUAGAGGGAUUUAGACUAAGCCUUUCCCAUGCAAGGCGAGUGGUUGUACGAUAAAUGAGUUAGGCAAGAUGAAUCAUCAACUCAGUCCUUAAUCGAGACAAGGCGGAUAUCUUCACGCUUAACCCCGCAAGGUAUAAGCCACAACACCAGGACAUCCCCAAAAGAGAUCUCAUCCGCCCCAUCUCCAUAGUAAUCACAUCUAUAACUUGUUCAUUAACCCUUUCACAAUACCCACAAUUUAUUUUCACCACUCACACCUUUUACUUUUAAAAUUAUUAUAUUUGAUAAAAUACAACGAUGAGUAUCCAGAAUGAGUAACAAGUCCUAAGCAUACUAAAUAAUAAUAUUUCUGUCAUAGCAUAUUAUUUUGUUCCUAGGUUCGAACAAGAUAAUUACCGGGUAAUAUCAAUUCAAGGAUGGCUAUUCAACAGGUUUUAACUAAGCAGCGAAAAUACUUCGUACAUAUAUCGUACAUGCAAUAUUUAAAACGGCUUCUACGGGUUGUGUUUAAAAAUAGGAUCAAUAUGCAUCAAAGGGGAUCGGUUGGACUUGCCUCCGUCGGCGUCCUCGGCAAACUCCUGCUGACAGUCCGGGUCCUCGGCGUCAAACUCGCGGUACUCGUCUCCAACGUUCUCGUUUUCCGGCUCGUUCACUCCGUCAACUAAAAUACGCGACGAACGACACAGACAAUAGGCACAGAUAAAUAAUCAUAUAAAUUCAAAUGAGCUCCAAAAAUCAUGAAAUUAAUAUGGGAGGUAGAUCAUGAUUUUAGAUGAAUUUAGGAAAAAGAAUUAUUAAAAUCAGAGUUAGCAUGUGGCAUUUGUGAAAUGGCCGGAAUUUAAUCAUGCGAAAAAGGCUAACGAUGAUUAAGGAAUGGAUGCUUCACGUGGGCAUUUGUUUGGCUGGUAGUGCAUGUUGUAUGCAUGCAUGUACUAUUUGGAGUUAAUGCUUGGCCCACACAUGCAUGGUUAGAGACAAAUUAGCAGGGGUCAUUAGAACUCUUCUGUAUGUCAUGGUUCUAUUCGUGGUGUUCUUGGCAGUGAACCGGUACAGACAAAUACAUGGAAAAAUACAGAAAAAUACUACAGAAAGACAGAGAAGAGCAAGGAGAUGCUCAUGAGCUGCUCACCUCGUCUUGCGACGACAGUCGAGCUCGGCUUCUGCGUAUGGCCGUAUACGGUAUACGCGAAGUGAGAGCGAGUGAGCGAGUGAAUGAACGUGUUUCUCGGGUGGUGAGAGUGAGCACCCGAGGCUGGCUUUUUAUAGGCCAAAGCGCUCAGCUGCGUGCCAUUAAAAAUGCUACUGUAGCGCAUGGUCGGUGCCUAAUUUCAUACGAAGGACGAUGUCCCAUUUGCAUGCACGUUGCAUGCAAAUGGACGGUGCCUAAUCACCGUGUCCUUGCAUGCAGGUGCAUGCAAAUGGUCGGUGGCAUGUCCUGCAUGCAUGCAUGAGAUAUAUAUUCGUGUAGGUGCACUGCUAUGUUUUCUCGCAUGUAAGCUUGCUGGUACUUGCUAUUAUUUGUGCGCGAAAAAUAUGGAUGGAGAUACUAUAGAGCUCAAAUUAUUUUAUAGUUUUUGAAAUAUAUUUUGAAAAUAAUUUUUAAUGCGAGUGAUUUUCGAAUGUGAAUUUUUGGAUGUUACAAACCUACCCCCACUUAAAAGGAAUCUCGUCCUCGAGAUUCGGCUGGGUCCUAAAUAGAUGGGGAAACUCUUUUCUCAGAGCAUCUUCUCUUUCCCAUGUUGCUUCUGCUUCAGUGUGUCUACUCCACUGAACACGACAAAUUCGGACUGUUGUCGUUCGAGUUUGCUUGGUGACUGUAUCUAGGAUUUUUAUCGGCACUUCUUGAUAUCUUAGGUCGUCUUGUAAAUCAACUGUGUCUGGCGAUAUUUGCUCCUCUGGUACUCUAAGACAUUUCUUCAAUUGGGAGACAUGAAACACAUUGUGUAUAUCUGACAUUUUUCAGGUAGCCGAAUACGAUAGGCUACAACACCAAUCCUCUGUAAUACUUGAUAUGGUCCAAUAUACCGAGGUGCUAGCUUGCCUCUGACUUGGAACCUUCGAGUUCCUCGAAUAGGAGAGACUUUGACAUACACAAAAUCUCCAACUGCAAAACUUAACUCCCGCCUUCUUUUAUCAGAAUAGCUCUUUUGACGUGAUUGUGCCUCUUUCAAUUUUUCUCUGAUUUCAGCUACACGAUCUUCUGCUUCUUUUAUAAGGGCUGGUCCAAGCAAGGUUCGUUCUCCAACUUCUGACCACAUCAAUGGGGUUCUACAUUUUCUUCCAUACAGGGACUCAAAAGGUGACAUGCCCAAACUAGCUUGGUAACUGUUAUUAUAGGAGAACUGUGCAUAAGUUAGGCUUUUCUCCCAAUCUUUACCAUAUGUGAGCACAUAUGCUCUUAGCAUAUCUUCCAUAAUCUGAUUUACUCUUUCAGUCUGGCCAUCUGUUUGAGGAUGAUAAGCUGAGCUAAAAUCUAGCUUGGUUCCCAUAGCUUCAUGCAAACUUUUCCAGAACUUAGAGGUAAAUUGGGUACCUCGGUCAGAUACAAUCCUACUUGGCACACCAUGCAAUUUGACUAUGUUAUCCACAUAUAACUGGGCUAACUUGUCUCCACUAUAUUUGGUGCGCACAGGUAUGAAGUGAGCAACCUUGGUAAGGCAGUCCACUAUUACCCAUAUUGAAUCAUUUCCUUUCAGAGUUUUGGGUAAUCCAUUCACAAAAUCCAUGCCUAUCUCAUCCCAUUUCCAAACAGGAAUAGGCAAUGGCUGGAGCAAGCCUGCUGGUUUCUGAUGCUCCGCUUUAACCCUUUGGCAAACAUCACAUUGUGCAACAAAUCGUGCCACAUCAGCUUUCAUGCCAUUCCACCAAUAUCUUUCUUUUAGGUCCAUGUACAUCUUGGUGGCACCAGGGUGGAUAGAAUAAGCUGAGUUAUGGGCUUCAUCAAGGAUUAAUUCUUGAAACUUUCCCUCCUUGGGCACACAAAUCCUGUUUUUAUACCACAAUACUCCUUUGUUAUCCACUCUAAAGUAUGGAGCUUUAUUUUCUCCAGUUUGCUCACGAAUCUUCAUCAGAUCCUUAUCCUUAUGUUGCAUCUGUUUGAUUUCUUCCACAAGAGUUGGCUGCACCAUCAGACUGCCAUUUUGAGGUUGACGUACUAUAUGCAUGUUCAACUGUGCUAUCUCUUCUUGUAGGUGAGUGUUCUUAGGCACCAACUGCUGACCAUAUGACCUUCUGCUUAGGGCAUCUGCUACCACGUUGGCCUUUCCUGGGUGGUAAUAAAUCUCAAGGUUGUAGUCCUUGAUUAAUUCCAACCAUCUUCUUUGCCUUAGGUUCAAGUCUGACUGUGUGAAGAUGUACUUCAAACUCUUGUGAUCAGUGUAGAUUUCACACUUGUUUCCAAUGAGGUAGUGUCUCCAAAUCUUGAGAGCAUGCACUAUAGCUGCUAACUCUAAAUCAUGGGUAGGGUAAUUUUGCUCAUGAGGUCUAAGCUGACGAGAUGCAUAAGCAACCACUUUUCCUCCUUGCAUGAGAACACAUCCUAAACCUUGUCUUGAGGCAUCACAGUAUAUGAUGAAAUCUUGGUGAAUGUCUGGCAAGGUUAACACUGGUGCUGUUGUUAGUCUCUUCUUCAACUCUUGGAAACUCUUCUCACAUGAUUCUGUCGAAGUAAAUUUCUUAUCCUUCCUAAGAAGCUCUGUCAUGGGUCUGGCUAUCUUGGAAAAUCCUUCUAUAAACCUUCGAUAAUAUCCAGCUAAUCCAAGAAAACUUCUAACCUCACUCACAUUGGUGGGUUGCUGCCAAUGGGAGACAGCUUCUACUUUCUCAGGGUCAACUGCAACUCCUUCAGCUGUCAAGAUAUGGCCUAGAAAUGCAACCUUCUCAAGCCAAAAUUCACACUUGCUGAAUUUAGCAUACAACUUGUGUCUUCUUAGCUUUUCCAACACUACUCUCAAGUGUUGCCCAUGUUCUUCAGCACUCUUAGAGUAGAUAAGUAUGUCAUCAAUGAAGACUACAACAAACUUAUCUAACUCUUCCAUGAAUACCUUAUUCAUGAGGUUCAUGAAAUAGGCAGGGGCAUUGGUUAAUCCAAAGGACAUCACUGUAAACUCAUAUUGUCCAUAUCUGGUUACAAAGGCUGUCUUGGGAACAUCACUAUUCUUGAUCUUGAGCUGGUGAUAACCUGAUCUCAAAUCAAUCUUAGAGAAAUACUUGGCUCCUUUAAGCUGAUCAAAAAGAUCAUCUAUCCUUGGCAGGGGAUACUUAUUCUUGAUGGUGACUUCAUUUAGGGACCUAUAAUCCACACACAUCCUCAUACCUCCAUCUUUCUUCUUCACAAACAAAACUGGGGCUCCCCAUGGUGAAGAACUAGGUCUAAUAUAGCCUUUCUGCUGCAAUUCUCUUAGCUGCUCUUUCAGUUUAGCUAACUCUGCUGGAGCCAUUCUGUAAGGUCUCUUGGCUAUGGGGGCAGUCCCGGGGAUAAGAUCAAUGUUGAACUCUAUAUCCCUGUCUGGUGGCAUCCCAGGUAGUUCCUCAGGGAAUACAUCAGGGUAUUCUUGCACUAUUGGUAUUUCCUCUAUGGUCCUUUCAUCCAAGUUGAAGACCAUUGGAUUAACUUUAGACCCUCGGGUUUGGCAUUUCACUUUAAUCCCUUCAUGGUUAACUAAUGAUACUUCCUUGGUUGCACAACUAAUAAUUCCAUUGUGUCUGGUUAACCAAUCCAUUCCAAGGAUAACAUCUAUUCCUUUGGACUUGAGCACUACUAAGUCUCCUAAGAAAACUACCCCACUUAGAAUGAUCCUUACAUUUGAACAACCUAGAUGACAUUUGAUGUCAGACCCAGGUGUUCGGGUUAUUAGGGGUAACUUUAGUAGUACUGUGGGUAUUUGAUGCUUCUCAACAAAACUUGAUGAUAUGAAUGAAUGUGAUGCUCCAGAAUCAAAUAAUACUGUUGCAAGUACUGAAUCGACUAAGAACUCACCAAGUACCACUCCUGAAGCAGUCUGAGCAUCUUGAGCAUGAAUAUGGUUGACACGGGCUCUACCAUAGGAUUGUUGAGGUUGCUUCAUCAUCUGGCUAUUAUUGUUGGUGUUGCUAUUGUUGCGAGGGAAACCACGGUUGACUCCAGACACUGCAGGUCUUGGUCCAUUAACAGUGUGGGACUGAGUGGAUACUGCUGGUGGGUUGUUCUUGUAGGGACAGUUGGCGAUGUAGUGUCCAGUCUCAUGGCAAUUAAAGCAAGUUCUGACAUUGUUUGUGACUUGACUAGUGCUGUUCUGUUGAGUCUUGCCAUAAGUUUGAUUCUGAUAGGUUGUCUUGGGCUGAUAUGAUGUCUGCAUUUGGUUAUUGGAGAUACUAGCAGGAGAGCGAAACUGCAUUGGGGCUUGAGUCCGCUGGCUCGGUUGGCUAAAGGUUUUCAGCCUCUGGGAUCUAGCACCAUCUUGAACCUUGCGCUCCAGAAACUUGCGCUUGUUUUCCUUCCUUUCUUCAGUCUUGGCCACAUCAGUCGGAAUGGUCCUGUUCAUCAAGGUGUUGAAGUCUGUAUAGAUCUGUGGGGUCAUGAGGGUUCUGAGCUCACAGGUCAAUCCUUCUAUGAACUUUGUCUGCUUCUUGGCAUCAGUGUUGACCAAUUCUGGGGCAUAGCGAGACAACUCAGUGAAUUGGAAGAUGUAUUCACUCAGGGUUUUAUUUCCUUGCUUCAAGUUGCGAAAUUCAUCAGCUUUCAGCUUCAUGAUCCCAUCUGGAAUGUGGUACCGGCGGAAUUCAUCCACAAAUUCUUCCCAUGUGAUAGUGUUUGCAUUGUCCACAGCUCCACUAUAGGCUUCCCACCAAGAAAGGGCAAUUCCUGUCAGCUGAUGAGAUGCUAGCAGAACUCUAUCCCUUCCAUCACAGUGGAUUGUGUCCAACUUUCUUUCAAUCACCUUAAGCCAAUCAUCUGCUUCCAUGGGGUUGUCAGAUCCAGUAAAGGUGGGUGGCUUAAGCCUCAUGAACUCAGUCAUCUUGUCUUGGACUCCGGCUCCACGGUUGUUCCUAGGGCGGUUCAUGCCUUGAGCCAAGGUCUCCAGAAGGCGAGUCUGAGUUGCCAUGACUUGUGCCAAGUCAAUUACUGGAGGAGGGGGCAAGUCAUCUCCUUCAUUAUGGUUCCUAGUCUGACUCACUUCAUCUUCAUGAAUACCAUCCACAUUUGCAUUGGCUUGACUUCCAUUUGGAUUUUGGCUUUGUCUACUAGCUGCACGACCACUUGGUUGAGAGCGGGUAGCUGGUUUGGGAGGCAUCUGUUGGUUAAGAUGAGAAAGCAUUAGAUAAGGGUUACAUCUAUUGAGUGAUGUUGUUUUUUUGUUAAGGCGUUAUAUUUUAAAAAGGUGCAAGUCUUAAGACUUGCUAUCCCGUAAGGGAACAACAUAGAGCACUCAAUUAUUUAGCACAACCAACAAGCACAAAUAUAUAUUUUGAAUAAGAGGGCGGUUUACAACAUAGUAAUGGAGGAAAUAAGCGUACUACAAUACGGUUCAUCUACUUUGGGGGUUGAACAAAAGUGAAGUAAACUUCACUUCCCUAAGACAUAAGGAGGAACUAGGUGCUACUAUUCUUCAACUUCUUCGGACAGAACGGCUUCAUUCCCUUGGUGUUGAGGAGGAUCACGCUUCCGGCAUUUGUGGUUCUUCUUUUGGACUAAGAGGUGGGUCACUGUCUUCUUUUGGUGCUGGCUGGGUGAGAAGGGGAAAUCCUUCUUCCUUAGUGGACUCCAACUCUAAAGCUUCAUGAGAGGCUUCUGUGGGUGGGAAAGCUGAUGGCCCUUCUAUGUCCAUCUUUCUUUUGGUUUUUAGGGACAUGAUUGGGAUACCUUUUAGGACUAUGGGCUCUUGGUCUUCCACUGCUAACAUCCUUCUUUUGAUCCUGGUGAUAAGGUAGGCAUCCUUCAACUCCUGAGCAUGGUGGUCUUCAGCUGUCUUCAAGACUUUAGCAAUGGCAGUUUCACGACUCUCGGCUGCAGCUGCUUGGGCCUGAGCUUCCGCGAGCUGCACAUGGAGCUUUCUAACUAUGAUCUCGGCUUCCUCCGCACGAUGGAUGCACUUGCUUAACUCUGAGGCCUGCUCAUCAUAUUGCUUAUCUAGAGCAAGUAGGUAUGUGGUCAUGAAUACCACAGUUGGGUCAUCUUCAAGUGAGUAACGUCCUUGCAAGAGCUCCAUGCGGGUUCUCCAAACUGGUCGGUCUUUUUCGUCAGGUGGAAAGAACCUCAUGGGUGUACGUGUGAUGGGCUUCUCGUAGAUCUGGCAUAGGUACCUCAAGAAUUUGCGGGCGACGGCUUGAUAUGUAUCUGCAAACCGAAAUCCGGUCGCAGUCAUGCUCCAAGCUUCAGCUAUAUUAGGGAAGUCCUCACUUUUCCCAAUAUAGACGGUAACUUCACACCGCUCAGUCUCAUGCUCUUCAUAUUCUCUGCCUUCAUAUUCUAUCCUUGAUUCCAAGUUUCUGCAUGGUAGCAUACAAGAGCUUAGGAAAGCCUUCUACACUUAGACAGUGACUGCUGGUCCAAACUCCUUCUGCCAUCUGAGAGACAUAGAUGAGAGUAAAUAUUUUUUUCAAAUAGAGGGAAGAGGGUAAGAACUUUUGUAAAAUACGUUUAUUUAGUAAAAUACUGGUCCAGAAAAGCCUAAGGUCACGUCCUACAGCCAGCUACGGCUCUGAUACCACCUGAAGCGCCCCUGGUAAACCAGGAACUCAAAUGUGAUACAAUACUAGUCCCAGGAGGCUAGUAACACAUUUAUUACAUCAGAUAAGUUUCAGCGCAGUAGUCUUGGAAAGCGUGGACAAGGAAGGCACGCUAUAAUAAUAAGACACCAAAAUACAACACAGGUCCAAAGGACCCAGAAACAAACGAUAUCGCCAUCGAACAUCUGACGAGUCCCAAUGCCACAGGCUUAGUUGGGUGCAGACACGACCUUACUCGAACGCCACUUCGGGAUCGAAGUCCGGAUCUUCCUCUGUUUAAUAAAGCAAGGGUGAGUACAAAGUACUCAGCAAAUCCAACCUUACCCUACGGAAGGGGAUAACAGUAUAUAUGCAUAUGGAUAAAUCAAGGAUGAGGCUUAGUUUUAUUUGCAUAAAGCUAUCUUUUUACACAUGCAAGGUUUCAUUUCACAAAUACUGUUGUAAAAGACCUCUUUUUCCACAUAUGAUAGUAUUUCUGAAAAUGGGGGUUUGAUCACAAUUUUAAGUGUUGUUGAACCCUUGUUCCCACAACACAAUGGCAGUCAACCAUUUAUUUCCAAAAUCACACUCACUCUCAUAUUUUCACUCAUCCCAUCCCAUCUAGUUGUUGAAACCAAACCAUAACCCGUCCGAGACCGCGGACACGGCUAUCCAGAUAGAUUUACACUCUGCAGAGGUUGUACACUUUUCCCACAAGUAGGAUACCAUAACUUACACCGUCGUGCAAGCACAGAUCCAUCAAAGUCAUUACCCUCCAUAGCUAAGUAAUGGCGCUCACCACGGGAACACUAUGGCCACAUCUCAUGAUACCAUAAUAAUUCACAAAGCUCUUUUCAUAUAUUUCCACAAUUUCACAUACAUCACUUAGUGUCCCGUUGCACACCUGCCUCCAGGUGAUUGCCAUACUAACUAGAGGGAUUUAGACUAAGCCUUACCCAUGCAAGGCGAGUGGUUGUACGAUAAAUGAGUUAGGCAAGAUGAAUCAUCAACUCAGUCCUUAAUCGAGACAAGGCGGACAUCCCCAAAAGAGAUCCCAUCCGCCCCAUCUCCAUAGUAAUCACAUCUAUAACUUGUUCAUUAACCCUUUCACAAUACCCACAAUUUAUUUUCACCACUCACACCUUUUACUUUUAAAAUCAUUAUAUUUGAUAAAAUACAACGAUGAGUAUCCAGAAUGAGUAACAAGUCCUAAGCAUACUAAAUAAUAAUAUUUCUGUCAUAGCAUAUUAUUUUGUUCCUAGGUUCGAACAAGAUAAUUACCGGGUAAUAUCAAUUCAAGAAUGGCUAUUCAACAGGUUUUAACUAAGCAGCGAAAAUACUUCGUACAUAUAUCGUACAUGCAAUAUUUAAAACGGCUUCUACGGGUUGUGUUUAAAAAUAGGAUCAAUAUGCAUCAAAGGGGAUCGGUUGGACUUGCCUCCGUCGGCGUCCUCGGCAAACUCCUGCUGACAGUCCGGGUCCUCGGCGUCAAACUCGCGGUACUCGUCUCCAACGUUCUCGUUUUCCGGCUCGUUCACUCCGUCAACUAAAAUACGCGACGAACGACACAGACAAUAGGCACAGAUAAAUAAUCAUAUAAAUUCAAAUGAGCUCCAAAAAUUAUGAAAUUAAUAUGGGAGGUAGAUCAUGAUUUUAGAUGAAUUUAGGAAAAAGAAUUAUUAAAAUCAGAGUUAGCAUGUGGCAUUUGUGAAAUGGCCGGAAUUUAAUCAUGCGAAAAAGGCUAACGAUGAUUAAGGAAUGGAUGCUUCACGUGGGCAUUUGUUUGGCUGGUAGUGCAUGUUGCAUGCAUGCAUGUACUAUUUGGAGUUAAUGCUUGGCCCACACAUGCAUGGUUAGAGACAAAUUAGCAGGGGUCAUUAGAACUCUUCUGUAUGUCAUGGUUCUAUUCGUGGAGUUCUUGACAGUGAACCGGUACAGACAAAUACAUGGAAAAAUACAGAAAAAUACUACAGAAAGACAGAGAAGAGCAAGGAGAUGCUCAUGAGCUGCUCACCUCGUCUUGCGACGACAGUCGAGCUCGGCUUCUGCGUAUGGCCGUAUACGGUAUACGCGAAGUGAGAGCGAGUGAGCGAGUGAGUGAACGUGUUUCUCGGGUGGUGAGAGUGAGCACCCGAGGCUGGCUUUUUAUAGGCCAAAGCGCUCAGCUGCGUGCCAUUAAAAAUGCUACUGUAGCGCAUGGUCGGUGCCUAAUUUCAUACGAAGGACGAUGUCCCAUUUGCAUGCACGUUGCAUGCAAAUGGACGGUGCCUAAUCACCGUGUCCUUGCAUGCAGGUGCAUGCAAAUGGUCGGUGGCAUGUCCUGCAUGCAUGCAUGAGAUAUAUAUUCGUGUAGGUGCACUGCUAUGUUUUCUCGCAUGUAAGCUUGCUGGUACUUGCUAUUAUUUGUGCGCGAAAAAUAUGGAUGGAGAUACUAUAGAGCUCAAAUUAUUUUAUAGUUUUUGAAAUAUAUUUUGAAAAUAAUUUUUAAUGCGAGUGAUUUUCGAAUGUGAAUUUUUGGGAUGUUACAGUAACUUUGUAGACUUUGGUGUCAUCUGAUCCUCAUACACAAUUCUUAAUCCAUGAGUAUCAGUAAUAACAUAAACCUCCAUUUGUAUUAGCACACUCCAAAUGGAAUGAUAUCUUGAAACAAACCAACAUACCAAGCACUUGAUGUCCUUGUAGAUGUUCUUGUCAUUAACCACUUCUUCUCUUGUAACUUCUUUAUUUAAGCUACCCCCUUCAAAGGGUCAACUAGGGGACACAAGAAAGGUAGCUUGCACUUUUUCCAGACAAGUUGACUAGCACUGGGACCUUUUGAUAUCCCAAAGAACUUAUGUGCAAGAGAACAAACAGGUAUCCUGAAAUUUUCCUCGUAGUAUGAAAACACCGGCGUAGUAAAACAGGUAUAACUCCUAUUCUGUUAAUCAAAUAGAGUUGUAGCUUAUACCGUUAGAAAACUUAUGAAAUUCCCUACAACUAUCAUAUAGAAAACCUCCUUAGGUUCUGUCUUUAAACUUAGGUAAAACAGCCAAACUUAAUAUCCAUCCUGAAAAUGUCUCAGCAAAGGUGCAGUAGAUUCCAAAAAUUAUAUCUCGAGCUACUUAACACAUCUGGAGAUGAUCCUUACAUUUUUGAAAAUAUUAGGAAAUCCUCUACAACUUUAGUAUACCACGUUUUUCCAGAUUCUAUCUUUAACUUGGCUGUAAAUAGGAAAUGCCAGAUCUAUCCAGAUUUUGAAACCGAACAGCAACAUCCAAGUUUAAAUGUCAUAUCUCAGGUUCUGCUUAUCCAAAUGAGUUCCAGCUUAUACUGUUGGAAAGCUUAUAAAAUUGUCUACAACUUUGCUAUAGGACACUUUUCCAAAUUAUAUAGUUAUAUUUGUCUCAAACAGUAAGCAACCAAAACUGGUCCAGAUUCUUGACAGCACAGUUGUAUCAUAUUGUGAUUUUUGUAACUUCCAAACCAUAACAGCUAUGAGGGUGAAUCUUGCGGUCAGGAAAAUAUCUUGAAGUCUAGUUGUUCCCAGAAAAAUUUGGUAAACUUUGCACGAUCAAAACUUGAGAUACUCCCAAAUCAUUGCAGACUGCUACAGAAAUCAGCAAGGGACAGAAACAAGAGAUAGCCAAACCCAACUACUUAUUCCACUAAUCCUUAUGCCUUAAGCCUAUGAACUAAUGAAAUUGUGAGGAAAUCCACAAGAUCAUUGCAAUCAGUACAAAGAUCCAAAUCAAGAAUGAACAUAAUAACAAACCAAUUAAGCAUUGAAGGUUCACACUUCACUCAACUUGCGAUACUAUCGUUCUCUUCAUAGAAAGGGCAAAGAUCCUAAAAUUCUCUUUCAACUACGUAAGCAGGUGGUAAGAGAAGAUUCUAAAAGCUUAUCAAAUCAAGGAGUAAAGAUGAGAACAAGUACUUUUAAAAUAAGCAACAAGGUAAAGAUGAAUAGCAAUGGAAAAGAUAUAGAAUAGAGAAAAAUAUCAAGGUUUAUAGAACAAGGAUUGUAUAACAAUUUAAAAACCUUAAGACGACCAAUUUCUAACUAGGCUUGCGUCCUACAGUCAGCAUUGCUUUGAUACCACUUUGUAAUACCCGAUUUUAAGGACAAAACCAGAUAUGCACCAUAUGUGAGUUUUAGAAGUCAAAUCUCACAUAUAGCUACAAAUAAUGGGUAAUAUCAAGAGACAAUGCAUAAAUAUAUAACAUACUUAGUAUAAAAGAGAUAACCUUCAGUAUCAAACAGUGGAUAGACAAUCUCCAAACUUCGGGUAUUACUUCUCUCCACAGGAUCCAACUGACUGGUUGAUCACAAGCCUAACAUCUCCUGAAGUGUGGGGGAAAUUGCAAGAGUGAGCAAAUAUCGUACUCAACAAGUAUAACCAGGGGUUCAUGAGGCUCAAAUAGCUGACACUGGUUUGACUGCAUUUAGCUUUUAUAUGUAGAUAACAUAUUUAAUCAUUGGAUAGCAAAUAUCAAGGUAGCAUAUUAAAUCCCAUAACCACAUGAUCAAUUGUAUACAGGAAUUAUGAAUAAUACAUAUAAACAACAUAAUAAAUCAUCAUUAUCAUUAUUAAUCAUGUUCAUCAGUGUUCAUCUAUUCCGUCAGUUUUCCGGGCUGCCCGUAUCCAUGGGCACGGCUAGUAUACCAGAUUUAAUACUCUGCAGAGGUUGUAGAUCUUUACCCAUGAGUCAUGAUUUACCCUUUCGCCCGAGGUGACCAGCCUCUUAGCUCACUUCCAAGGAAAGCCGACAGGGUUCACUAUGAAGUCUUUCAAAGGUUCGCCUAACAAGUUAGGGCCGCAAGGUUUCCUUUGCGCGCAGAUAUAGAUACCCCCCUUCCGAAUGGCACAAUGACGCGCAGCCUAUACACAUAAGGACAGGGGCUCGCACUAUACCCAAAACGGUUCAGCCCCUCCGCCCUUUUGGGUAACCUCUACCAAGCUAGAAAAGGUUACUCAUACUUGACUAAAGCCAGAGCCAUAUAGCCCUCAUGGUUGUACGAGUUGUCCCAGCUUUUGCCAAUGGAUAAGUCCUUAUGGAGGGUCAAGAUCAAUCCAGCAAAAGCCAGAGUUCUUUCCACCCUUUAUAUUCAAGUUGCUAGAAAGCUUAUUUUAUUGUUUAUUGUAUAUCCAAACAUUCAUGUUACAUGAUCAUGGAUUAGAUUCAAGCACUAGCAGGAACUACCAAAUGCAUAUCCAAAAUAGGUAACAAGGAAUCCAGGAUAACAAUCAUCUAUGAUUCUGCUAAGGUCAUCAAGGUGGACACAUGCAUAUGAUAAAUAUUGUAUUAAUGGUGUAUAGGUAACAAAGAUGAACCCACGUUAUACUUGCCUUGAUCAAAGCUCUCCUGAGCCUGCUGCUGGUCUUCAAAAGAUUGACCUCGAUCACCAACGUAUCGCUCACUGUCUAUACCCGAUCAUCAAUCAACAACACGCAUUCCAAUGGACAAUCAUACACGAAGCAAACAAGCUAUAAUUAGAACAAUAUACCAAAAAGUGGUAAAACAAAGAUAAAAGUUUAUGAAAAUAUUCUACGCAGCGCUACGAUCACACAAACGUAAUGUUCACGAAAAUCGGAAUUGAACGUAGAAGUUAUGAAUUUUCCAAGUUUUCCUAUAGAGAAAUAAUUAAUUAAAUGCUACUGCAGAAUUAAAAAGUUUCAAAACAGCAAACUAAUACUUCUAACGUGUAGAGCUCGUGAAUACGAAUCUAACGAAAUUUGAAUGGACAAAAUCGGAGCUAAAAAGAGCAUUUUAUGAGCAUUAUAAAAUCAGUGGCAAACUUGUAAAUAUCAGAAAAUGUAUUUUGAAUCAACCGACAGACUUUACGUUUUCAAAAACAGAAUAUGCCUUUCGUGAAUGUGCCUUGGACUGCGGGUUCUAAUACGAGAUUCCAGAGGGUCUCUUUAAGAAAACGGCCGGGCGAAGGGGUAUCCUUCUUUUUCGGCCGUAGGAUCGCGAUGGAACGGUGCAGAUCAGAUCUGGGGAGAGAGGGAGGGAGCUCCGGCCAGCUACAGUGGCCAGCGCGGUGGCGCCAUUGCCGGAGGGCAGAACUCCUCGCCGGAGUUCGUCGUUUUCACGAUUCAGUGCACGAUUCAACAAACGAAAAGAAUGGGAAGGCGUAGAAGCUUGCUGCGAACUCACCAGACCAAAAUCAAGGCUCGGGAAAAGCUUGAAGGCGUCCGACGGCUUGAGAUGGCGGACCGGGCACUCCUGCAAGGUACGGCAUCGAUGAGGGAGCUGUAGGGCGCGAUAGAGAUAAAAGGGGAGGCUCAGAACCCUUGUAGGAGCAAUACGAAGCUCGGCGUCACGAUUUAGGCGGCUCUGGGGCAGCACCGAGGAAGAACGAUGGCGACGGCAAUCUUUGGCUUGCGGCGAGAUCCAACCAGCGGCGAUAGAAGUUAUCUAGGGAUUCCCCAAUGUUGUGGAUGGAAAGAGGAGUGCGCGGGGAGACCACAAAACUUUAUAGGGCUUGAUUUGGGAAUCCCAGCACCAAAUCCCGGAUUUACCGGAUGGGUUUCCAUCUCGGUGAGAGAAGGAGAGACCGUCUCGGCCACGACCUGAGGAAGAAGAAAGGUAAGUCGCCGACGUGUGGGCUCCAGAUGGCAGCGAGAGAAAGAAAGGGAGAAAGGGGAGGGGCGCGCUGCUGGGCCGGAGAAAGAAGUGGGCCGGGGCGGUUAGCUGGGUCGCGGGGGAGGAACGGGGGCUGGGCCGAUGGGGAGUUGGGCUGGGCGCUGGAUGAGGUCUUUUCCCGUUUCUUUUUUUUUCUAUUUUAAUUUUCAAAGCCUUUUCCAAAUAGAAUUUUUAGAGCAACCAAAAUCCACCCCAAAGCAAUCAAAACAACAAUAAGAUAUGCUUCAGCAUGUAUGCAUAAACAAGUUUCUAACUCUAUGUUGAAUUUUAAAUUUCAAUAAAAUUUAUUUCUUCACUAAUUUAAAUGCUCACAGAAAUAUUUGAAUAAAUCAAUUUAAAUCCUAUUAAUUUGAAAGCAAAUUUUGGGUGUUACGCAAAUUGGGAGCUUCAGAUAAGUUUGUAAUCAUGAGUCAACAUUCAAGAAAUUUCACUUAAGAUAAGCAAUUGGGAGCUAGCAAGACUCGACUAAUGUAUUGGAGUAACCUGGUAGCUACCAACAUUCAGGAAAUUUCGGAGUCUGACAAAUUGAGAUGGAUGAACAUGCAGUAACCGGGUAGCUAACAGUUAGAAACUGGUAGCUUUUUAUCCAUUGAACAAAUUAAUAAUUCAGAUUAUUUGUUGUGUCCAAACUGAGAGCAAAAGGAGGUGGUGUUUGGUUGGGAAGAGACUGAAAGUGUCAUUGAAAGGGUGAACUACGCCCUUCCUUUCAGAAGAAAGAACAGAACAUAAAUAUUCAUCCAUAACAUGGCGUCCUUUAAUUAGUACGCUUUUAGCAACAGGGAAAGACACAUGAAAGCUCAUAUCUUGGUUUUGAAGAUAAUUUAUCACCGAUGUUGAUGCAAACUUGCAGACAUCCUCAAUAGCAACAAGCAAUACCAUAGAAACUAAAAAUGUUUUCCUCACUUGAACAAUUCCUUGGGCAAUGAGGCUGCUGCAGUGCUGCUGACUGGUGAGCUACCUAUUGGCCGUCUAAUGCUGAAUGGCAUGUUGCCUGCUGCUGUUAUCCGAUUGAUUCUGGUACAUCAUCACCGAGGCAGACCGGAAGCCAGUGGCGGAGGGAACGGGGCCCUGAGGGGGCCUGGCACCCCCAAACCUUCCCAUAACUCCUUUAAUACACCCCAUAGAUUAGAUGUUUAAUUGUCUAAUUAACUAGUUAAUGAUGUUAUCUGUACUAAAAUUUUUAUUCUUAUUUCAUAUUAAUCUCUAAUAGUUUUUUAUACAAAUAAAAUCUAGAUCUUUCUAAUAUUUUCUUCAUAUCUUUUAUUUUUAUUAUUACCUAUCAGACGGAGACGGGCGGGUGAAUAGUCAGUGGGCCUUCCCUGAUAUUAAAAUCUUUAUUUUUCCUAUUUUUAAAAACUGAUUUCGUAUUUUCCAGAAAAAGAUUUCUACAGGUGGUUGGCAUAACUGAACCACCUGUAGAAAUGCAUUUCCACAGGCGGUUCUCAAUUACUCGCCUGUGAAAAAAUUUAUUUCCACAGGCCACCAAACAUAGACGGUUCGCCAAACCGCCUGUAAAAAGGGAUUACGAACCGCCCCUCUGUGUACUAGUGACAAUUAAGCAUGGGGCAGUUGUGGCGCAGUCCUGUUAUUUUUCUUGAUCGAUCCAAAAAAAAAGGUCACUACAAGAUGCAGCAGGAAGUUAAUGAAGUGCGGAUAUCAUAUACGAAAAAGUCAGAGAUCAUGUGAAUAUAAUAGAAAAAUAACAUUUGUUAAUCUUGUGGCAACAGCAGGCUGCAGGCUUAUGGUCGAUAAUUUAUAUAACGCUGGACCGGUUCCAUGCUAGGAACGUCCCUAACCGAACGGGCUUUUACCAGUUCGUCUCCAUCUUGCUAUAUGUGGAAGCAUUCCACUCAAUUAAUUCAUGUAUGUUAGCUCCCGAAAAAAUGCUGACCAAGUUAACAAUGGGAACAUGAAUCUGCUAUGACUCAAGUGGUCACAAUGACUACAUGGAGAUCGUUAGAUAUUUAUAUAAUCAAGGUGCCAAGUAAAGAUAGAGGCUUUCACACUGUCGACUCUUUCUAUCUUUUGUUAGCGAGGAGUUGAUCCUUUCUAAUUUCUAUAGGUAUGUGAGCACAAGCAUGAAUGUGGACUAUUUGAAUCAUUUUUUAGAUUUUUUUCUAAAGGAUAAUUAGCAUGACCCUUCCUCCCAAAAACACAAAAGAAAAGAAGGAACACGUGCCAAAGAGAUCACAUAAUAUUUGUUUACUGGAAUGAGUGUGAAAUGAAAAUACUAAAAGCAAGGUAGGUUUGAAAAGGUUGGUAUAGUAAAAAGAUAAUUGUGUUGUUUCAUGUGCAGGUUCUACGAGCCGGAGACUGUUUCUUCUGUUGGUAGGUUGAACUUGGAAGUUUUCAGUCAUUAACACGUUCACGUCACCACACUUGCCGCUGUGGCAAGCCUAUAUAAAUGCACUAUCCCCAUGCCCAAAGCAUCAACAGAGACACAAACUCAACCAGAAGCUCGCUAUAGCUGAGUUCGGAGACAACAAGAUGGCUCCAGCCACCUACUUUCUCCUCGUUUCUUUUCUAGCAUUGGUCACUUCUCAGGCCAUUGCUUCUGACCCAAGCCCGCUCCAGGACUUCUGUGUUGCCGACAUACACUCUCCAGGUAUCCAUGCACUAACAUUAAAUAAUGCACUAUGUCUUGUUGUACUAAAUCACAUAUCAAAUUGGAAUUAUUUGUCAGAACAGAAACUAGAGUUUUAUGUAUGUCCUAAUUAUAAUGAUUUCUGAUCGUUAUGUACCUAUUUUUCUGUCUUUGUAUAUGCAGUGAAGGUGAAUGGAUUUGUCUGCAAGGACCCCAUGGCUGUGAAUGCAGAUGACUUUUUCAAGGCAGCAAACCUUGACAAACCUAGGGACACAAUGAAAAGCAAGGUUGGAUCCAAUGUCACUUUGAUCAAUGUCAUGCAGUUGCCUGGACUCAACACCCUAGGUAUCUCGUUGGCUCGCAUUGACUAUGCACCAUUAGGUCAGAAUCCGCCACACACCCACCCACGUGCCACGGAGAUUCUCACCGUGCUUGAGGGUACACUCUAUGUUGGAUUUGUCACCUCCAACACAGACAAUGGCAACAAGCUAUUCACCAAGGUUCUCAAGAAGGGUGAUGUGUUUGUAUUCCCCCAAGGGCUCAUCCACUUCCAAUUCAAUCCUAAACAUGACAAGCCAGCAGUCGCAAUCGCGGCACUAAGUAGCCAGAACCCUGGGGCUAUAACUAUUGCCAACGCAGUCUUUGGAUCAAAGCCACCAAUCUCAGAUGAUGUCUUGGCCAAGGCAUUCCAGGUGCAAAAGGUGACAAUUGAUUGGCUUCAAGCUCAGUUCUGGGAGAACAACCACAACUAAAUAAAUCAUGUUCGGCCGUUGUAUGAGUUCUGCAAUAAUUUGUAUGGGAAUAUAGAACUUUUUUGCACUUUACUUACUACUGUAUGUUUUUAUUAUUUCUAUGCUACUAAUGAUAAUAAAAUAAAUGGUCAGUAUUUCUCUACUAUAAUUGUAAUUGUGUCCGUGUUGUGGCUCUGCCACCAUGACUUUAAUCAAAAAAUUAAUGUAAUUUAUAUGACUGCCGGUUAUAUGGGGUAUAUAUAGUGAGCAGCCAAAUGCUUGACCAGAUGCAGUACCAAGUUAAUGAAGUGUAGAUAUCAUGUUUGCAAGUGGACAGAUAAUCAAUUUAUAAUUUUACCACUGGGAAGGUAUAACUUUGCAUGAAUAUAUAGUAUUGAUAACUAAAGUUUACAUAUGAGAGAUUUAAUCAAUAUCAUACACUCACAUGAUAAAGAUAUAUAUACUCCCUUUCUAUAUGAUUUAGUCAUUUUGGACAAGUUUGGGUCAAACAUUGAGAAUAUAAAUCAUCAAUAACUUUUAAAUGCUGAGUUUGCAAAUGUUUCAAUUAUAUGAAUAGAUUUGUCUUGAAAAAUACUUUCAUAAAAGUAUACAUAUAUCAUUUUUUCCUAGAUAUUUUUAUAAAAAUAAGAGGUCCAAGUUGUGUUUUGGAGACCGUGUCAUUGUCCUAAAUGACUUCUAAAUCUUAUACGACAGAGUAUAUAUAUAAAUGAUAAGUACAUAUUAAGCAUCAUAAUAGAUAAAUAAAUAAUUCAUUUAGAGCCCUCUAAUUAUAGCAAUAGCCAUAGUCCAAUUAGAAUAUCAGAAGAAUAGUUCCUAAGUUCAGGAGCAUUCUUGGCAAGGUUGUCGCUAUCAAUGUCGAAGCACACGCGGGAUGGAGAGUAGUAGUUGAUGUCGUUAAAGUCAUACUCUGAGCCAUUCCUUGAGAGGAUCAGAGAGCAUGGGCGGCGCCAGGGGUAUGCCCAUGUAUUCCAUGGAAUACCCAUGAUUUUUGUGACAAACACAAAUAUAUGUAUAUAUACACACACAUGUAUAAUCAGCAUAUAUGUUAGUUUAUUGAAUGUUGCAAAUAUGUAGCCCAUAAAAGAACUCCAAUAGUCUGGCUAAAAUUAAUUAUCAAAUUCUAUUGCUUAGCUAUUUUGUCCAAUAGAAAAUUUCUAAAAAAUGAAGAGAUCUACAACAUUCUUGUUACUUUACAAAGUCUUACAGUUAGCGUCUGUAAGAAGCUAUAUAUAGCCACCGAAAAUCAAGGGAAAGCCAACUUUCUAUUUUACAAAAUUAGAUAGCAUAUUAGUUGGAGUCUAUUUUGCUAUACAAAUUCUAAAAUAGCAUAAACAAUAAGAAUAGUUAAACUCUUGAAGUUGCUCUAAGCCUAGUAGAACAACUAGUAGCGGCUGCCCAUGAACUCAUCAGAAAGAAACCCCAUCGAUGGCAUUCCUCUGGCGGCGGCGGUGGUCAGUGGUCUUUGUAGGCUUUCUCAUAUAUGGCUCCCCUCAACGCCUUUCUCAUAUAUGGCUUGAAGCAACAACAAGGUGAACAUAAAGAUCCCACAUCUAUUUUUUUAUUCUUCAAAGUAACAAUUGAAGGUUUCGUUUUCUUCUUUUUUUGUUGCGUUUUGAUUUUUUUAAAGAAAUGUUGCAUUGUAUUCUUGUAACAUAGAUAAAGAAUUUAUAUAUACUUUGAUUAUUAUCAGGGGCGACACUAGGCUCACUUUGCCUGAUGUCUUGUUACUAGGAUAAACAAAUAUUUUACCUAGCAUAUAUUUUAAAAAAAAUUAUAUGUACUACUUGAGCUGCACCAGGAUCAAUUUUGUAUUGAUUUUGUCCCCUAUUACUAUUACACAUAUACAUAGAAAAUUUUUAUACGUGGAAUACCCAACUAUAAAAUCCUAGCUCCGCCACUGUUAGAGAGGAAGGUGUGUAGAGAGGGGGGAAUGGCCCUACUGUGCCGGAGAUUUGUCCCCUUUCUGUCAUGCCCCGUGCAUGACCUUGUCGGAAGCAUGGAGGACAGCACUGCAUCCAUCAGACAACACUGCAGCCCCAGAGCCUUGGGUGCUCGGGGCGCUAGGUUCUGUUGAAUAUAAUGGGCCUUUAGCCCAUAAUUAUAUUUAAUGAUUAAUUAAAGAGCCCAUAAUAAAUGCGAUAAUGAAAACGGUUUAGUACUGUAUUGAUGAUUGACCAUGUGUUAACUCAACUUAAAUAUGUGGCCUUUGUUAGCUCCUAUGGAGAAGUUGAGGAAGGGAAAAAGGGUGCCACACGCACAUGCGCCCCGCCGCCACCGCCGAGCCGUGCCGUGCCGAGGCGUGGCGUGCGUGCGUUCUUGUCUUGUUGCUAAUUGAUUGACUCGGUUUAUGGCAAUUAAAUGUGAUUAAUUGUCAUCAAUCAGACGUUUCCUCCUGGGGCCUAUAUAUUCCAUACGCGUGACACUCUUUCCUUACGUGCGAGACACAAUCAGUCCUCUCGCUUCCUAUCGAGUUGCUCUCUGUUUGUUCCUGUCCUGAACCUCUGCGCGCACAGAGAUCGGAAGAGCAGGCCUCCGGAACCUGACGUCCUACAUCGAGACACCUGCUCGAGUGUGCGGGCAAUCAGAUUUUUGGGGAGCGUCUUCCGCGACUGCUCACCGACGAGAUCGUCUUCUUCCACUCCGGCGGAUCGAGAUCGACUACUGCGUUCGCGGGACUGCACUACGAACAUCUUCCUGCAUCGACUGUGGUCCGCUACUUCACGCAACGCACUAUAUCGACUAUUGCGAAUGGAGCCGCCGGUGCCUUCGGCACUGGUCCCUCCUCGGGGUACAAUCUUAAUCGAUUGUCUUUUAUUUUCAGUAUGUCUGUUGUAGUUGCAGUAGUUCUUGCAAUGUUUAUCUCUAAACUGAGUAGUGAUAAAAUUGCACACGUGAACAUAUAUACCACCACAAUAUUAUGCGUAAUUUUCUAAAUUAAAUCAAACAUUAAAAAGUCUAAUUUUCUAACAAUCCAAAAUCUGAUAUUAGGCAUUUUUGUGUUAGUGGUUUUGCUGCUGCGUUAAAACCGAAUGCGUUUGAUGGUUCAAACUAUAAGCGAUGGCGCGCGAGAAUGAUAUUGUGGUUAACUGCUAUGAGUUGCUAUCACGCCGCGAAGGGGAAGCCAGAACAGUUUACUCUUGAUGAGGAGCAAACGUUCAUGGCAGCCGAUAACCUCUUCAGAGGCGUCGUGAUUAGUGCGCUCGAUAAAAAGUAUGUUGACAAAUAUAUCAUUUGCACCACUGCUAAGGAAUUAUGGGAUGCGUUUGAGGCCAAGUUCGGGGUUUCUAAUGCUGGUAGCGAGCUGUACCUCAUGGAGCAACUGUUUGAUUACAAAAUGGUGGAUAACCGGUCUGUGAUUGAACAAGCACAUGAGAUACAGGCACUAGCUAAGGAACUAGAACAAUUCUCUUGUGUGUUGCCUCAAAAGUUUGUGGCCGGCGGUAUAAUCGCUAAGCUGCCACUUUCUUGGAAGGAAUUUGCUACUUCUCUAAAACAUCAGAGGAAAGAGUUUGGUCUUGCCGAACUCAUGGGAACUCUUGAUGUUGAGGAGAAGGCGUUGAGUCUUCUAGUGCCAAUGUGGUACAAAAAAAAAGGCAAUUCGCAUUCCGUAAUAAGAAAAAGAACAAGCAAGGGACAAAUCUGAAGCCAAAGCAAACCGCAACUUUUAAGAAGAAAAAGACACAUGGAGGCUGCUUUGUUUGCGGUAGCGAUGACCACUGGGCAAGUGCUUGUCCACACCGCAAAUUCAAACGAGAAGAGAAAAAGUCAGUGAACAUGGUCAUUAGCGAGGCUGAAGGAGGAACAUCUGGGUAUGGUAAUUAUUUACCUACUGUUCUUUCAGUCUGUCAUUCAUCUGAGUGGUGGAUGGAUACUGGGGCUAAUGUUCAUGUAUGUGCUGACAUCGCUUUGUUUUCUUCUUAUCAGGCCGGCGACACUGGAGCCUUAGUGAUGGGGAAUGGCUCUCAUGCGCGUGUUCUUGGUGUUGGUAUGGUCAUUCUGAAGUUCACUUCGGGAAAGUCGGUGCUGACGAAGAACGUGCAGCAUGUCCCCUCCAUCAAAAAAAUCUAGUUAGCGGCUCACAGCUUUACAGAGAUGGCUACAAUAUAGUCUUUGAGGCCAAUAAAAUUAUACUUUCAAAGUUUGGAACUUUUAUUGGUAAAGGUUAUGAUUGCGGAGGCUUGUUCCGCUUAUCUAUGCAUGAUGUGUGUAAUAAAAUCGUGAACCAUACUAUUAUUUCGAAUGAGUUUGGCAUUCGCGAUUUUGUCUUGUUAAUUAUGGUUGUUUAACGCGGCUAGCAAAUAUGAAUUUAAUCCUGAAAUUUAAUUUAGUCAAAGGUUCUAAGUGCCAUGUAUGUGUGCAAUCCAAGCAACCUCGCAAGCCUCACAAGGCUGCGGAGGCGAGGAACUUGGCACCAUUAGAAUUAAUCCAUUCCGAUCUAUGUGAGAUGAAUGGUGAGUUGACUAAAGGUGGUAAACGAUACUUCAUUACAUUUAUAGACGAUUGUACUAGAUUUUGUCAUGUGUACUUGCUUAAAACAAAGGAUGAAGCAUUACAAUAUUUUAAAGCCUAUAAAGCUGAAGUAGAAAAUCAACUUGAGAGGAAAAUUAAACGCUUAAGGUCCGAUCGCGGUGGAGAAUAUUUUUCAAGUGAUUUUUCUGAUUUCUGUGUAGAACAUAGAAUUAUUCAUGAGAGGACACCGUCAUACUCACCACAGUCCAAUGGGAUUGCUAAAAGAAAGAACCGUACUCUAACUGAGAUGGUUAACGCCAUGUUAGAGACUUCGGGACUAUCUAAGGAAUGGUGGGGUGAGGCGAUAUUGACAGCAUGUUAUGUCCUGAAUAGAGUUUCUACAAAGAAUAAAGAAAUCACACCAUUUGAGGAAUGGAAAAAUAAAAGAAUAAAUGUCUCCUAUUUGCGUACUUGGAGUUGUUUGGCUAAAGUGAAUGUGCCAAUAAACAAGAAACGCAAACUCAGACCUAAGACAGUUGAUUGUAUUUUCCUUGGUUAUGCUACUCACAGCGUAGGGUAUAGCUUUUUAAUUAUAAAUUUUGGAGUACCAGAUAUGAUAUUGGUACUAUAAUGGAAUCAAGAGAUGCAACAUUCUUUGAAACUGAGUUUCCUAUGAAAAGUACACCUAAUAUUUCUAGUCAUGAGUCUAUAAAUUCCCAUGAGCAAUUUAUUCCGAUAGAACAAUCUGAGGAACCUCAUGUUCACUAUCCUGAGGAGGAUGAUAAUGUAGUCACUCGAACGAGCAAAAGACAAAAAAAAGUGAAGUCUUUUGGAGAUGACUAUAUUGUGUACCUCGUGGAUGAUACCCCAACAACCAUUAAAGAGGCACUUUCCUCUCCUGAUGCUAACUUGUGGAAGGAAGCAAUAAGGAAUGAGAUGGAUUCAAUAAUGUCUAAUAGAACUUGGAAAGUGGUUGAACGGCCUUAUGGGUGUAAACCUAUAGGGUGUUAAUGGGUGUUCAAGAAAAAGCUUAGGCCUGAUGGUACAAUUGAGAGGUACAAGGCUAGCCUUGUGGCUAAGGGUUAUACCCAAAGAGAAGGGGAAAUUUCUUUGAUACGUAUUCACCUGUUGCCCGUUUGACCACAAUUCGAGUGUUACUAUCUUUGGCUGCCUCUCAUGGUCUUCCCAUUCAUCAGAUGGAUGUGAAGACAGCUUUCCUAAUUGGAGAGUUGGAGGAAGAGAUCUAUAUGGAUCAGCCUGAUGGAUUUGUAACAAGUGGUCAAAAGGGCAAGGUGUGUAAGUUAUUAAAAUCCCUAUAUGGCCUAAAACAAGCUCCAAAAUAAUGGCAUGAGAAGUUUGACAGAACUUUAACUUCUGUCGGCUUUGCUGUUAAUGAAGCUGACAAAUGUAUGUACUAUAGGUUUGGUGGGGGUGAAGGUGUGAUCCUUUGUAUGUACGUGGAUGACAUACUAAUCCUUGGGACAAGCCUUGAUGUGAACAAGGAAGUUAAAGACUUUUUGUCUAAUAACUUUGAGAUGAAAGAUUUGGGAGAAGCUGAUGUUAUUCUAAACAUUAAGCUUUCAAGAGAAGGUAAUGGUAGGAUUACACUUGUGCAAUCCCACUAUGUGGAAAAGAUUUUAAGUCGCUUUGGGUACAGUGACUGUCAAUCUGCUCCUACGCCUUAUGAUCCUAGUGUGCUAUUGAGGAAAAAUCAAAGAAUAGCAAGGGAUCAACUAAGAUUCUCCCAAAUUAUAGGCUCAUUGAUGUACCUUGCAAGUUCCACGAGGCCUGAUAUCUCGUUUGCAGUGAGUAAACUUAGCCGGUUUGUGUCAAAUCCGAGAGAUAUUCAUUGGCAAGCUCUUGAGAGAGUGAUGCGCUAUCUGAAAGGUACUGUGAGCUAUGGCAUUCACUAUACCGGAUACCCGAAGGUAUUAGAGGGUUAUUAUGAUACAAAUUGGAUAUCUGAUGCUAAUGUUAAAGGCCACAAGUGGAUAUGUGUUUUUGCUUGGAGGUGGCGCUGUUUCAUGGAAGUCUUGCAAGUAGACUAUCUUAACGAAGUCAACCAUGGAAGCAGAACUCACAGCAUUAGACACCGCCGGCGCUGAGGCCGAGUGGCUUCGUGAACUCCUGAUGGAUCUACCGGUGGUUGAAAAAACUGUGACGGCUAUUUCCAUGAACUGUGACAAUCAAACGGUGAUCACAAAAGUCAACAGUUCUAAGGACAACAUGAAGUCUACUAGGCAUGUCAAACGGCGUUUGAAGACUGUCUGAAAAUUGAGAAACUCUAGAGUUAUAGCAUUGGACUAUGUCCAUACGUUUAAGAAUCUGGCAGAUCAAUUCACAAAGGGACUAUCACGUAAUGUGAUAGAUAGUGCAUCGAGUGAGAUGGGUUUGAGACCCACGUGAGGUCUACCAUGGUGGCAACCUAUUCUAUAGGAUCGGAGAUCCCGUGAAGUAGAAUGGUGAAACAAGCCAGAAGUAGAUUGUGAGGAAAGACCCUUUACUUAACUCAUCUCAAUUGCACUUCUUUCCUAAGUCUGUAAGGAAGGCUGGUUAUAUACCUUAAUGUAUUCCAAAGCGGCUUGUGAAGCGAUAGAUGUUGUCCUACAGAACAUCUUUAAGGAAUACACCUAUAUGAGUUUGACUGUUAGUCAAAGUCUAUGAGAUUUGGGUGAUCUCUAGAUACUCAUGAAUGGGCUAGAAGUAUGACUUAUAUGCUUCAACCAGAGGGGAUGUUCAUGCAACCCUGUAUCAGUUAUGAGUUUAGAUGAAGCUUAUAUCACAGAAAACUUGCAAUUCAAGGCAUAGUCCAUUGUUCAAGUUGUGACUAAGUGUAGUCUGUACUCUAAGUGGAAGUUCAACUUAACAGUCUCCACUGAAACGACUGGUAUAUGAAACGACAUGGAAAUUCGAGAGUUUUUCUUAUGUGCCCUAGAAAUAGGUGGGGAUUGUUGAAUAUAAUGGGCCUUUAGCCCAUAAUUAUAUUUGAUGAUUAAUUCAAGUGCCCAUAAUAAAUGCUAUAAUGAAAACGGUUUAGUACCGUAUUGAUGAUUGACCAUGUGUUAACUCAACUUAAAUAGGUGGCCUUUGUUAGCUCCUAUGGAGAAGUUGGGGAAGGGAAAAAGGGUGCCACACGCGCGCGCGCCGCCGCCGCCGAGCCGAGCCAUGGCGUGGCGUGCGUGCGUGCUUGUCUUGUCUUGUCUUGUCGAGAUGACACACGAGGACCAGACCAGACGUGACAUGGCACACACGUGAUGAAUAAGGAAAGGGAGGAAAACAAGAUCUUACCGUUGUGUAAUUAAUGGCAAUUAAUUGCUAAUUGAUUGACUCGGUUUAUGGCAAUUAAAUGUGAUUAAUUGUCAUCAAUCAGACGUUUUCUCCUGGGGCCUAUAUAUUCCAUACGUGUGACACUCUUUCCUUACCUGCAGGACACAAUCAGUCCUCUCUCUUCCUAUCGAGUUUGAAAGGUCCUAAUAUGGCUAGAGGGGGGUGAAUAGCCUAUUUAAAAAUUCUACAAGGCACUAGAGCAAAGGAUUAAUAUAACAAAAGGCGUAAAGCAAUUUUGCUCUAGCUCUACAAGGGUUGCAAGCCACCUAUCCAAUAAUUCUAGUUACUAUGAUCUCUAGGCACAAGCAAUGGCUAUGUCACUACUCUUUACAACUAGUUACAACUAGCUAAAACUAGGAUCUACUAGUUACAACUAAUUUGCAAGAAAGUAAAGAGAUGAGAGAUAAUUAUACCGAUGUGUAGAGGAUGAACCAAUCACAAUUUAUAUCAAUAUAUUCACCGGGAGAAUACCAAUCACAAUAUUGACACCGAUAUUUUUCUCCCGAGGUUCACGUGCUUGCCGGCACGCUAGUCCCCGUUGUGUCGACCAACACUUGGUGGUUCGGCGGCUAAUAGGUGUUUCACAAACCUAGCCCAACAAAUGGGAGCCACAAGAACCUACCCACAAGUGAGGUAGCUCAAUGACACGAGCAAUCCACUAGAGUGGCUUUUGACACUCCGCCGGGGAAUAAGCCCAAGAACCCCUCACAAAUAUCACCUUGAUUGGGGGUGGACACAAUCACCAAAUCCCCUCACCAAUCAACAAAUCCACAACCGUCUAGGUGACGGCAAUCACCAAGAGUAAUAAGAAAUCCACAAUUGCAAUCACCACCUAGUGCCACAAUAAUGAAAUCACAAAUGCACAACACUAGGGUUUCCUCAACUCCUCUCACCAAAGAGAACCAACCAUGGGAAUGGAGAGGAGAGGGAGGAGAUGCUCUUGAAGCUCUCAGAUUUAUCACUAGAGCUCAAUCUCUUACUUGAAUGGAGCACAAAGCUUGGGGAGUGAGAGAGGAGAGGCAGAGCUUUUUCUUCUCUGUUCUUGCCAAGAAGAAAAGAAGAGGGGCGUGCUUUUCUCGGUUCCCAGAGGGGAGAGAGGAAGGGGAGUGCUGGGACUUAAACCAGAAGCCGAACGGCCAAGCACUCACACGGCCAACGGGCAGGAGCAACAGCAGCAGCACAGAUUACUCACAUGCGUGGGCCCCAGCAGACCCCGCUCUCCCCUUUCUACGUGAGAGACAACGGGCAGGAGCAAGGCUCCUUCCAGGACAAGGAAAGGCAGACGAUGCACAGCAAUUUUUUUUAUUUAUUUAUCAAAGAGUAGUACGGCACCGCUCGCAAUCACUGGGAAGGGACAGGGGGCCCCAUGCAAGCUGCCGCACUGCCUAUCCACUGCAUGCGUGCAUGCAGGCCAGAAGCUGCCGAGUGCUUCAAAAAAAAACAAAAACCAGAGGAGAGAAACGGACCAGUUCGGCCACAGCUUGGAGAAAAGUCCGCUCGAACCUCAUCUGUCCCAAGUGCAUGCCGACAUGCAUACUUGCACUUGCACCACUACCGGCUAACAGAAGCACUUUUUCUCCUUAUCUAUUUUAAGCUUAUGACUAUUUAUAAUACGUUGCAACUGCUUGCAAGUAGAGAAAUUUCAGCACCAUUUUAAGCCUUUUAAAUUAAUUAACUUUAUCAAAAUAUUCCAAAAUAAAUUGGACACUUAAGUUAGCUUUUCACAAAUAUUUUUAUAAGCUUUCUCAUACAACUCACCAUGUCACUAAGCGCUAAGUAAAUGCAAGUGAGACUCAUACUUAGUGGCACUAGAUAACCAUUGCAAUUAAAGAUUUCCCCUCUUUAUAGUACGGUUAUCUAUCCUAAAUCCACUCACACCCACUAGGUGUCUUGAGUGGCAAAACAAAAUGACCCUAUUAAAAAUACCUUUGCCUUGAGCCCUUUUUUUUGUUUUUCUCUUUCUUCUUUUUCAAGUAGGAGCACUUGAAUAUCAUCUUUUGGUCACCUCCAUCACCAUGACCAUCAUCUAGCUCCAUCACGUGGUGUGUACCAACCUAUCUUAUAUUUCACUCAUGACAAAGGUUUGUACACAUAGGUUUCAUCAAUUAUCCAAAACCAAACUAGGGCUUUCAAUCUCCCCCUUUUUGGUAAUUGAUGACAACCUUUUUACAAAGAUAUUCAAUAAAACCUUUUUAGGUUUAUGUUGCUUGCCCAAUCAUUUUACCAUGUGUAAAGGGUAUGGACAAGUUUCAUAAACCUGAAUUGGUAGCAUUGGCUCCCCCUACAUAUGUGCUAAGAGUUUGGAUUUGAAAGCUUGCACAUAUGCUUAGAUAGGAAACAUAGGAGACAAUGGCUACCAAAUGAUGCUAAGGUGUAAAGAAUGGACCUUUGAAGCAUGAUACCAACCGGAGUUGCCAUUUGAACACCAUCCUUAGCACCAUGGUUAGUUAGAUAACUCUUGCAAACAUAAACACUAGAUACCUCGUGAGAUCAACAUUAUAAACAAGGCUCUAGUAUCACUUGUAAAAACAAAACAUACAAGGAACAUCUAACUAUCAUCCUAUGCAUGCUAGUAAUUUAUUUCAUCAAACAAUUUUACAACUAGCAAGCAUCACACAAGCAUGUAUUAAAAAAACGUGCUAUGCAAGCAAGCAUAUGUAAUGCACAUCCAAAUGCAACAUACAACUUUAUGAGCUUGCUCCCCCUACUUGUGUGCUUAAAAAAUUUUGAUUCCCUUCUUUUAGCAAAACCUAUCUUUGUGAAUUACUUCUCCCCCUUUGUCAUCAAUGACUACAAAAGGUGAGCUCAAAUUUUGGAUAGGUUGUAUGUGAAACCAUGUUAUGUAAAGAUUAUUUUCCCAAAUUCGGUUCAAUCUAGAUUACUUGCCUAAGAUAUUUAACUCGAUUUGAUCCAAUGACAAGCUUUUUCACACCUCAUUUCAAGGGUUAUCUUGACAAUGUUGAGUUAAACACCUAUAGCUCAUUUUCUAGAUCAAACACUAGGAUUGCAAGCCCACAAACAUGUCAUAUGCUACCACUAGAUCAUUUCAAACAUAGAAGCAAUAGUGGUACCAUACAAGCAUCAAAUCCAUUUUAUUUUCAUAAAUGAGCCUAGGAUAUGUGAGGAAUGACUAGAUGCACUAAACAAGUCCUUAGCAAAGGAUGGAUGACAUGUCAAAUAAUUUUACCUUGCUUUGCUCGAAGGUGAGGCAUGUCAUAUUAUGGGGUGCAUCAACACAUAUUUGAGAAGUCAAGUAUGUUCAAUUCAUUCCUUAGCUUGCAAAACCUCUUCUCAUCAAGUGGCUUGGUGAAUAUAUCAGCAAGUUGAUCUUCAGUUCCCACACUCUCAAUACAAAUGUCCCCUUUUUGUUGAUGAUCUCUUAUGAAAUGAUGACGGACAUCUAUAUGCUUUGUUCUUGAAUGUUGAACUGGGUUGUUAGUGAGCUUCACUGCACUCUCAUUAUCACAUAGCAAUGGCACUUGUUUGAACUUGAUUCCAAGAUCAUUCAAAGUAGCCUUCAUCCAAAGUAAUUGAGCACAACAACUACCAGCUGAAAUAUACUCUGCUUCGGCGGUUGAAAGUGCUACACUAUUUUGCUUCUUUGAUGACCAAGAUACAAGUGACCUUCCAAAUAAUUGACAUGUGCCUGAUGUGCUCUUUCUCUCAACUUUACAUCCCGCAUAAUCAGAGUCAGAAUAACCAAUCAACUCAAAAUUUGCUCCUUUGGGAUACCACAAUCCAACAUUUUGUGUAUGUUUCAAGUACCUCAAUAUUCUUUUUGUUGCUUUCAAAUGACUUUCUCUUGGUGAUGCUUCAAAUCUAGCACACAUGCAUACACUAAACAUCACAUCCGGCCUUGAUGCAGUCACAUAGAGUAGGCUUCCAAUCAUAGACCGAUACAACUUUUGAUCCACCAUGUUGCCACUAGCAUCACUAUCUAAGUUUCCAUUAGUUCCCAUAGGUGUACUAAUAGCUUUAGCAUCAUCCAUGCCAAACUUUUUGAGCAUAUCUUUGAUGUACUUGCCUUGACUCACAAAUGUACCAUUCUUCAUUUGCUUAAUUUGAAGACCAAGGAAGUAACUAAGCUCUCCAAUCAUGGACAUCUCAAACUCAUUUGCCAUCAUAUUUCCAAAUUCUUUACAAAAUUUUUGAUUGGUUGAGCCAAAUAUAAUAUCAUCAACAUAGAUUUGCAACACAAACAAGUCCUUGCCUAUCUUUUUAGUGAAGAGAGUGGUGUCAACCUUACCCAUAAUAAAUCCUUUGGAGAGUAAGAAAUCCCUUAACCUCUCAUACCAUGCUCUAGGUGCUUGUUUCAAACCAUACAAUGCUUUACUCAACUUGUAAACAUGGUUGGGCUUCUUGUCAUUUUCAAAACCUGGAGGUUGCUCAACAUAAACCAACUCAUUUAUGUACCCAUUCAAGAAUGCACUCUUCACAUCCAUUUGAUAUAACUUUAUGUUGUGGGCACAAGCAUAGGCUAACAAGAUCCUAAUAGCUUCCAAUCUAGCAACCGGGGCAUAUGUUUUACCAAAGUCAAGACCUUCAAUUUGUGUGUAUCCUUGUGCUACCAAUCUUGCUUUGUUCCUUAUUACUAUCCCAUCUUGAUCUUGUUUGUUUCGAAAGACCCAUUUAGUUCCAAUCACAUUAUGAUCCUUAGGCCUCUCUACUAACUCCCAUACUUGAUUUCUAGUAAAAUUGUUUAGCUCUUCAUGCAUAGCAUUUACCCAAUCAACAUCUAUCAAAGCUUCUUCUAUCUUCUUUGGUUCAAUGGAUGAUACAAAUGAGAAAUGUUCACAAAACGAUGCCAAUCUUGAUCUAGUUUGCACACCUCUUGAUAUAUCACCAAUGAUAUGAUCCAAUGGAUGAUCUCUUGCAAUAUUGGUUGGUUGGAGUAUUUGAACUUGAUUGCUUGCACUUGGUUGGUCAUUUGAUUGAGAUGAUGAACUAGCCACUUGUUGAUCUUUUACUUGAGCACCACUUGUACUAGCUUGAGAUAUAUCAUGAGAACCACUAGCUUGCACAUUUGAGUUAGAGAGCACUUGAUUUUUGUCAUCUUCAACAUCAAUCAUCUCUCUAGGCCUUAUAUCACCAACAUCCAUAUUAUUCAUAGCAUUGACCAAUUGAGUACCUCUCACAUCAUCUAGAUUCUCAUCUUCAUCUUGGGAACCAUUUGUUUCAUCAAAUUCAACAUCAUGAACUUCCUCAAGAGUACCAUUAGCCAAAUUCCAAACUCUAUAAGCCUUACUAGUAGUGGAGUAACCAAGCAAGAAGCCUUCAUCACAUUUCUUUUCAAACUUGCUCAAUCUAGUGCCUUUCUUCAAUAUGUAGCAUUUGCAACCAAAAACUCGAAAGUAUGCAAUAUUGGGCUUUCUACCAUUCAAGAUCUCAUAUGGUGUCUUCUCCAACAUAGGAUGGCAAUAUAGGCGGUUGCUAUAGUAGCAAGCCGUGUUGAUAGCUUCGGCCCAAAAAGAAUGACUAACACUGUAUUCACUAAGCAUAGACCUUGCCAUAUCAAUUAAAGUUCUAUUCUUCCUCUCAACAAGGCCAUUUGAUUAUGGAGUAUACUUAGCCGAGAAUUGAUGCCUAAUUCCAAAAUCAUCACAUAACUCAUCAAUUCUUGUAUUCUUGAACUCACUACCAUUGUCACUCCUCACUCUCUUAAUGGUUGUUUCAAACACAUUAUGUACUCUCUUGACAAAUGAUUUGAAAGUUGCAAACACAUCACUCUUGUCAACAAGAAAGAAUACCCAAGUAUAUCUUGUAAAAUCAUCCACUAUCACAAAGCCAUAUUUAUUUCCACCAAUGCUAGUGUAUGUUGUUGGCCCAAAUAAAUCCAUGUGCAAUAGCUCAAAUGCCUUAGAUGUGCUCAUGAUGCUCUUCUUAGGAUGUGUGUUACCAACUUGCUUUCCGGCUUGACAUGCACUACAUAGCUUAUCUUUCUCAAAUGUGACAUCUUUCAAGCCUCUAACUAGAUCAUGCUUUAUCAACUUGUUCAAUUGUUUCAUUCCAACAUGACCAAGCCUUCUAUGGCAUAACCAACCCAUGCUAGAUUUAGUGAGCAAACAUGUUGAUAAUUGAGUUUCACUAGCAUUGAAAUCAACCAAGUAUAGAUUCUCAUAUCUAAAUCCUUUGAAUAUCAAGUUAGAGCCAUCUACACUUAUGAUUUCUACAUCAUCCACACCAAAUAUGCACUUGAAACCAACAUCACAAAGUUGAGCCACUAACAAUAAGUUGAAGUUCAAGCUCUCUACUAGUAGCACAUUGGAAAUGCUCAAAUCAUUGGAUAUUGCAAUCUUACCAAGCCCUUUGACCUUUCCUUUUCCAUUAUCACCAAAUGUUAUACUAUGAAUUCCAUCAUUAUCAUUUGUGUUGAUUGAAUUGAACAUUCUUGAAUCACCGGUCAUGUGUUGAGUGCACCCACUAUCAAGAACCCAAUGCCUUCCUCCGGCUUUAUAAUUCACCUACAAAAGAAAAUUAAUUCUUUUUAGGUACCCAAACUUUCUUGGGUCCUCGAAGGUUAGUGACUAAGCUCUUUGGUACCCAAAUAGCUUUCUUCUUUGAGCCCACAAUUGGUGCACCAAUGAACUUAGCUUGCACCUCAUUAACACCUUUGGUAAGCAUAUAACAAGAAUCAAAUUUAAUUGAGGAUACAUUAUUUGUUUUGUUCUUGUUCCUGCAAUAAUGCUCUAUGUGCCCAACUUGCUUGCAUCUAGUGCAAAACCGACCAUUUCCCUUCACAAAGCUAGCUUUAUGAGUAGCAAAGGCCGCCUUGCCUUUCUUGGGGGUAUAGCCUAAUCCCUCUUUGUUGAGAGAAAAUCUUUGGCUACCCAAGCACUUUAGCAAGCGGGCCUCACCACCAUAGGCAUUGCCUAAGGCGCGAGUGAGCUCAUUGACCUCCUUCUUGAGGGUCUCAUUUUCAUUAAUUAAUGUGGCAUCACAAGUGAAAUCAUCACUAGCAGAUGAGGUAGAAGUGCAAGUGCUGCAAGAAGAGUUAGUGGAGGCAAUAAUAAUAGGCUCAAAGAAAUAUUCAUUAAUUAAAUCACAAGUAGAGCCCUUGUCACAAGUCACAAUAACUUCCUCCUUCUUAGCUUGCUCGAGGAGUAAGGAGUGAGCCUUUUCAAGCUUAUAGUGAGCAUUGCCAAGCUCCUCAUGGUGUUCCUUUAGACUCUCGUGAGACGCUUGGAGCUCAUCAAAGGAUUGAUUAAGAGCUUUAAGCUCUUUCCGCAACUCUUUGCACUCCUUUCUCUUCAUCUCAAGACAUGUGUGGGCAUUCUCCAACAUGUCCAUGAGUUCCUCCUUUGACUCAUCAUCACUAUCAUCAUCACUCCUACAAUCAUCACUUUCACAAUCAUCAUCACUUUCAUCAUAUUAUACCUUAGUGGGUUUAGCCAUGAGGCAUGUCGAAGGAGUGUUGAAGAGAGAAGUCUUGUUGUUGAUGGCGAUGCUUGCAAGUGCCUUCUUCUUGGAUUUCUUAUCAUCAUCAUCACUAGAAUCAUCAUUAUUCGAAGAAGCAUCACUAUCCCAAGUCACCACAUAGCCGCCACCCUUCUUCUUCUUUUGGAAUAUCAUUUUCUUCUCUUUCUUUUCUUUCUUUUCCUUCUUCUCAUUCUCAUCAUUAUCACUAUUAUAUGGACAAUUUGCUACAAUGUGAUCCUUGCUCUUGCAUUUGUAGCAUCUUCUCACAUAUUCUUUGCUCUUAUUUUGAUCUCUUCUUUUCCUUGCACCAUAGCCCUUCUUCUUCAUAAAUUUGCCAAAUUUGCGCACAAAGAGAGCUAGUGCUUCAUCAUCAAUGUCACUAGCUUCCUCAUCUUCACUUGAUUCUUCUUUCUUUGCUUUGCCCUUGCUCUUGGAUGAACUAGCCUUGAAUGCCACACUUUUCUUUUUCUUGUCUUCAUCCUUCUUCUCAUCUUGGUCAACCCCUUCCCUUUCCACACGGUAUGUCUCUUGUGUCAUGACAUCACCUAGUACUUGGUUAGGGGUAAGCUCUUUCAAUCCUCCUCUUAUAAUAAUUAAUCUUAGUGUCUCAAAUCUUGGAGGUAAGCACAUCAAGAACCGAUGGGAUACAUCAUCAUCACUUAUCUUCUCACCCAAGGCCUUCAAAUCAUUCACAAUUACUUGCAAUCUAUGGAACAUCUCCGGAAUGCUCUCAUCAUCCUUCAUCUUGAAGCUUGUCAAUUUAUCUUUGAGAAUAUACAAUUUUGCACUCUUGACCGCCGGUGUGCCCUCAUAUGUUUCCUCCAAUCUUUUCCACACUUCACUUGCUCUAUCACAAUCUUUGAUUUCCUCCAAUCUAUUGAACAAAUUAAUAAUUCAGAAUAUUUGUUGUGUCCGAACUGAGAGUAAAAGGAGCUAGUGCUUGGAUGGGAAGACUGAAAGUGUCAUGGAAAGGAUGAACUGCGCCUUCCUUUCAGAAGAAAGAAAGAACAGAACAGAACAUAAAUAUUCAUCGAAAAUAUGGUGUCCUUUAAUUAGUACUCCCUCCGUCCCAAAUUACAAGUCGCUUGACUUUUUAUUGCAACCAUUUUGGUAUGUAUCCAGAUAUAAUAAUAUGUCCAAAAAAAGUCAAAGCGACGUUGCCUUUAGUAUGCUUUUAGCAACAGAGAAAGACAAAUGAAAGUUCAUAUCCUUGUUCAGAAGAUAAUUUAUCACUGAUGUUGAUGCAAACUUGCUGACAUCCUCAAAAGCAACAAGCAAUCCCAUGAAAAUUAAAAUUGUUUUGCAGUUCCAACAAUGGGGCUGCUGCAGUGCUAGCUGCUGACUGGCGGGCUACCUAUUGGCCCUCUAGUGCUGAAUGGCAAGUUGCCUGCUGGUCCCUUUUGAUUCUGUUCCAUCAUCAACAAGGUAGACCGGAAGCUAACCAUGAUUUCGCCCGGCUUUCCUCUGCACAGCCGCAUGGAGAGUUGGAGAUUGGCUGCUGCAACCUCUCUCUUGCAUAAGCGAUGCCCUCAAUGACAUGUGACAUUCUUGGGCGAGAAGUUGAUCAAUAGACUAUAUAUGAGUCCUUCUUGCGAACCCUAGGCAACGCCACCGCCUUUAUCAAGGCCUGCCAACAGAGUAGAUCCCUCUUCGCUAUCUCAAUGAUGCUGCUCAGAUAUUUGCUAGCUUCCUCGUCAAGCAAUUCUGUAAUACCUGAUUUUAAGGACAAAAUCAUAUAUACACUAUAUAUGAGUCUUAAAGGUCAAAUCUCACAUAUAGCUAUAAAUAAGAGUAAUAUCAAUAGACAAUGCAUAAAUCAUAUAACGUACUUAGUAAAUCAGUGAUAACCUUAGGCAGCAAACAACGGAAGAUAAAUCCAGACUUCGGGUAUCAACUCAUGAUCACAAGCCUAAAGCUUCUGGUGUGGGGGAAAUAGCAAGAGUGAGUCCCCGUCGAACUCCACAAAUAUAGCAAUAAGGUAGUAGCAGAUCCCACAAACUCAUGAUCAAUGUGAUAUAAAUAAUGUAGAGCAUAAAACAAUAAACAUUGAGCAUAAUAACAUAACAAGAAUCAUCAUCUUUAAUGUAAGAGUCCCCAAGGCCACUCAUGACCGUGAGCAUAGCUAGUAUACUAGUUUAUUAAAUACUCUGCAGAAGUUGUACAUCUUUAUCCAUGAGUAAUGAUUUAUCCUUUCACCCGAGGUCGCGAGUCUCUUAACCCCCUUCCUAGGGUGGUCGGCAGGAUUCACUAUGAAACCUUUCAAAAGUUCAUCUGACAAGUUAGGGCCGCAAGUUCCCAAUCAGUGCGCACAUAUAGAACCACCUUCCAAAUGGCACAAUGAUGUGCAGCCUACACACAUAAGGACAGAGGCCGCACUAUACCCAAAAUGCAAGCCCCUCGAGUGCCCUUACGAGUAACCUCUAGGACUAUCUCCAACAAAGAGAACCUAAAAUGGAGACCUAUUCUUUGAUUUAGGUCACGCACAGUAUAUAGAUAGCAAACCCAAAACAUUCCUUCUCCAACAGCUAUCGCAAAAGCAGAGACCCAAAACUACCGUGCCGCCGCUCCGACUGCUUGCCACGGGCAUGUCGUCCUGCUCCCGCCACUCCCCGCCAUGGAUCCGCCUUGCCAUGCUGGCCGCGCCCCGCUCCUGCCAUGGACCCACCCAACACUAGGCUGGAGUUCUUGUUUCCCUUGGACAAAGAAGCUCCGCCGCUGCUGCCUCGGUCGAGCGCAUGGGAGCCCUGCCGACCCUACCCCUGCAGCUGCUCGCAGGCUUACUCCGGCGGCCGGUGCGCUGCGCCGGGAGCCCCGCCAACGACGGUGGCAGCGGAGCCGAAGGAGCUGUCCACGACCAAGCGGAGCCACCGCAUCGCCCCGCACCGUCGGUUCUUCGUCCACGGCCUCUCGCCGCACGCCGACGGCGCCAUGCUCGCGGAGGCCUUCUCCUGCUUCGAGCCCGUUGCGGACCGUCGUCUAUUUCGCGUCUGGCGGAGAUGGAGGCGUGGUGCGCAUCCCAGCGGAAGGGGAUGAGGAUUGGGAGAGAGAAGACAGCCACCGGACUCCAUUUGGGUCGAGGAGAGAGAAGAAAGGGAGAGAACGCAUAUUUGGGUUGCCUCUUCCCUUCUACCCAAAAUAGGUGUUCCCUUUGGCUAUUCUGUUGGAAGCGUUUUUUUCACUGUACAGGACCCAAAAUAGGUUUGGGUAACGGUUUGCCUAGCUUCUUGGAGUCAGUCUAACAAGUUAGAAAAGGUCUUCAUACUAAGCUAAAGCCAGAGCCAUAAUAGACAAAUCCUCAAGUUGCUAAAAAGUCAUUUUUAUCGUUUGUUGCUUAAACAUUAAUUAAGUCACAAGGUUAUGGUCACAGAAUGAAAACCCAAAUGCUAUACUUGCCUUGAUCAUAUUUCUCUGGUCCUGCUUGUAGUAGCACUCUUGAUCAUCCAUGAACUGCUCACCGUCGAUACUCCAUCAGCAAUCAUCGACACACAAACAAUCAAGACCAAACAUAUACAAAGCAAACAAGGCUAUGAUUAGAAUAGUACACCAACAGUAGAAAAACAAUAAGAAAAGUUGAUAAAAGGAUUCUACACAAUGCUACAAUCACACCGACGUAAGGAUCACGAAAAUCAGAGGUAAAAUAGAGAAGAUAUGAAUUUUCUAAGAUUUCCUUUAUAAAAGUAAUUAAUUAAAUAAGGUCACAAAAUUAAAAAGUUGCAAAUUGGUGAAAUAAAUUUACUAACAUGUAGUUCUCUUGAAUAUGAAUCUAACAUAAUUUGAAUGGGUCAAAUCGGUGUUAAAACGUAUAUUUAUGAGCUAAAUAAAAUCAGUGGCAAACUUGUAAUAUCCUGAAAACGUAUUUUGAUUUAAACUGACGGGAAUUACGUUUUCAAAAAUAGAAUACGUAUUUUGAGAAUAUGCUUCGACUGCAGGUUCUAUUUGACAAAAAUGCAGGGGCUCUUUAACAAAAGAUCCAGACGAAGGGUUACGGCCUAAUCUGGAGCAUUGGAUCUAAAACCUAGGGCUGAGAUUAGAUUAGAGAGAGUGGGGGUGGCGGCUGCCGGCCGGAACAAUGCCACUGCAGUGGUGCUAUGGCCAGAAUCGGUCCGUCCUCGUCGGAGUUUUGCAAUCCAUCGACUCCGGACACCAUAGCUCACAGGGAGCAAGAGGAGCUUGUUGUGAACUCACCAGAGGCAAAAGUGGGGGCAAGGAUGACCCGAGGAUGUUCGGCAUCGGGAUUUGGGGACGACUACUCCCUGCACGAGUUCAACAUCCAUUGGAGACUAAACCAGGACGAGAGAGAGAUGGAGAAGAGGCUCGGCAUCUCCGUAGGAGCGAGGCGAAGCUCAGCAAAGGGUUCUCGAUGACCUUGGGACAACGUAGGGCUUGGACAGUGGUGGCGACGGCCUUCUUGCUUCUCCGAUGAGAUCCAAAUGUGCGUCAGGAGAGCGGCUAAGUCGACCCAUGUGUCUCGUAGAUCGAAAAGGGAGUCGCGGAUGAUUGCCAGAAGCUAUAUAAAGGUCGGUUGGGCAUGUUGGCAAACGAUCCCGUGGAAAACGGGAUUUGGCUUCCGCCUUGGUGGAGUCCUGCUGGGGCUCAAGGUGGAAGAAGAGAGGGGCACUGAUGCGUAGGCCCGAUUGGUCAGUGGGAGGGGAGAGAGAGACGCACUAGGCCGGCUGCUGAUGAAGCUGGGCCAAGCUGCUGCUCGGUGCGGGCUCUCCUACUGGGUUGUGGUCUUGCUGGGCAGGCUAUGCGUGGGAGAAUGGGACCCGACCCAAG